CCCCUCCCCCUCUCAAGAAAAAUGGGGGGGGGGAGGGGGUGGGAGGAGGUGAACACAUUAGAUUCAUCAAAGGAGUUCAACCAUAAUUCUCAAAAGCUUCACACACUCUUGAUCAAGACAGUGUGAAGCAAAACCAAUUUAUGGUGCCAACAAGAGCUUUAUCAAUAGAGGGCAAUCACAAUUCUCAAAAGCUUCACACACUUUUGAUCAAGACAGUGUGAACCAAAACCAAUUUAUGGUGCCAACAAGAGCUUCAUCAAAAGAGUUCAACCACAAUUCUUAAAAGCUUCACAAACUCUUGAUCAAGACAGUGUGAGGCAAAAAACCAAUUUAUGGUACCAACAAGAGCUUCAUCAAUGGAGGGCAACCACAAUUCUCAAAAGCUUCACACACUCUUGAUCAAGACAGUGUGAAGCAAAGUCAAUUUAUGAUGCCAACAAAAACUUCAUCAAUUGAGGGCAACUACAAUUCUCAAAAGCUUCACACACUCUUGAUCAAGACAGUGUGAAGCAAACCAAUUUAUGGUGCCAACAAGAGCUUCAUCAAAGGAGUUCAACCAUAAUUCUCAAAAGUUUCACACACUCUUGAUCAAGAUAAGCAAAACCAAUUUAUGGUGCCAACAAAAGCUUCAUCAAUGAAGGGCAACUACAACUCGUAGAAAGCUUCACACACUCUUGAUCAAGAUUGUUCGAAGCAAUUUCAAUUUAUAUGGUUCAUCCAAACCUUCGACUACUACAAGGUGUGGCUUGCAUCACAAUCUCUUACUCAAUUUUGUGGAAGUAAAAUUUGUAUAUGUUGUCUCUCCCACAUUUUCAAAUUUCUAAUUUCCCAAAAAAAAAAAGGAAAUUGGGAAAUUCAACAAAGCUUCAUCAAUGGAGGACAACUACAAAUUCUCAAAAGCUUCACACUAUCUUGAUCAAGAUAGUGUGAAGCAAAAUCAAUUCAUGGUACCCAACAAAGCUUCACCACAAAAGCUUCACCAACAAAAACUUCAUCAAUGGAGGACAACUACAAAUUCUCAAAAGUUUCACACUAUUUUGAUCAAGAUAGUGUGAAAAUCAAUUCAUGGUACCCAACAAAAGCUUCAAAUCCGAAGCUUCACCUACAAAGCUUCAACUCCAAAGCUUCGCCUACAAAAGCUUAAACACAAAAGCUUCACCCACAAAACUUCAACUCCAAAGCUUCACCUACAAAGCUUCAACACAAAAGCUUCACCCACAAUAGCUUCACCUACAAAAGCUUUACCCACAAAAGCUUCACCCACCACCAAAGCUUAAUAUAAAAUAUAUAUAUAUAUAUAUAUAUAUAUAUAUAUAAAUUUUCAGAAAUUUAAAAAUUCAAAAAUUCAAAAAUUCAAAAAUUCAAAAAUUCAAAAAUUCAAAAAAUCGAAAGAAAAAAAAAAUUGCCUAGGCCUCAUCUUCUUUGGGCCUAACAACUUUCAUAACAAAUAUAUAUGAAGGAGGAGUUUUGGGCUACCAUGUAAAAAGGAAAUGCCUCAUUCGUCAACUCCCUCGACCGGAGACUUGGGGGACUCCUACCAUAUGUUACUGCACCUUGAUACUCGGAAGUCUCACGACCACUUAGUGACUUGGAUUUUUCAAGUCUCCAAUCGAGAAGUUUUCCUCACUCGGGAAAUUAAGGGAGCACUACCUCAACAUACAUGCUUCACUCACAAAGCUUCAACAUAUAAGUUUCAACAAAAGAAAAAAAUUCAAAGAACUUAGUGAAGAAGACUUUGGUGUAUUUAACACAAUACGUUGAAAUGAAGCAAAACUUAUUUAUUAACAUCUCCGAUAAGUUACAAAUAUGUACAUAUACAUGAGUCAAAAUAAACAAACAAGAGAGAACUUUCAUAAAGGUUGCUCAUGAAAAGUCUCAGCAGUCGGCAGAGCCCUAGAAAGAUAAGGCAUCAGAGGGUGAUCAUUCAGAGCCUUAGUACUGGACAGAACCCCAGAAUGAGGAGGCAUCGGAGGUUGAUCAUUUGGAGCUUCAUUACGCGGUACAACCCUAGAAGAUGAAGGCAAUAAAUGCCUUUGGAACAAACCCACAAACCUCUGAUGAUCAAAUAAAAUCUGACCAUUAGAUUCAUGCAUCUGGUCAAACUUACUUUUCAUGUUUGUAGCAUAGUCAUGUGCGAGCAUGUGCAACUGUUUAUUCUUAUGCUUGAGCCCUCUAAUCUCCUGUUUGAGACUUAUCACUUUAGCCGCCAAUGAUUCAACUUGGCGGGUUCGAGCAAAUAAAUGUUGGGCCAUAUUAGACACAGAACCUGUACACUGAACAUUAAGAGCCAGAUAAUCCUUAAUAACCAACUCAUCAGACCGUUUGGAAAGUAGUCUGUUAUCUUUAGGAGUGAGAAGGUUCCUGGACACCACCGCAGUGGUCAUAUCAUUCUUCAUCACAGAGUCCCCAACGGUAAGAGUACCAGUAGAGGAUAAGAAGGAUUGGCGCCAUAUGUUGUCUUGAGAAGGCAUGGCUACCUCUACACCAAAGUUCAAGUCAAAAUGACGGUUGGAUGGGCCAAACAUUUUCAGAAAUGAUGAAGGAGAAAUGAGGUCCAAUAAAUCUCUAAAGUACGAAAAUAAAGGGAAAAUUCUUACAAGCAAUAACUCUCUAAACGUACUUCUUACACACAAUUGGUGCCCUUAUAAAAGAAAAGGCAACAUGGCCGUUUGUUCAAAAAUCGAAGAGGCAACACUCUCCGGAUUUCGAGAAGCAGAUUUUCUUGAGUAAAAUAUGUCGACAAUUCCCACACGCAACAUCAGCACCUCAGGUACUGCAGAUAACUUUACCAAAGAUCUCUGACAAAGUUUAGACACAUAAAUUUUGAAGGUCCAGCUACCCUACCAUUACCCACAAGGGUAAAGAAACAUCACCACUACUUGAUAACUGGAAAGUCCUUGUGUGUGCCAACCUCCGUGCUCCGUGGCAAGACCGACUGGCAAAAAUGCCCAACCUUUACUCACAUCGAGAAAACACUCCCAGUAGGAUUACUUGCUCAAAAAUCGAAGAAGCAUUGCUCCCCGAAUCUCGAGAGCCAAACUCCCACCAAGAUGGCUUCCUAAAAAAUCGGAGAGGCACCACUAACUGACUAUCGAGAGCCAGACUCACAACAGGAUUGUUUUCCCAAAAAUCGAAGAGGCACCGCUCUCCAAAUCUCGAGAGCCUGACUCCCAACAGGAUUGCUUUCUUAAAAAUUGAAGAGGCACCGUUCUCCGAAUCUCGAGAAUCAGAUCCCCGACAAGAUUGCUUGUUCGAAAACCGAAGAGGCACUGCUCUCCAAACUUCGAGAGCCAGAUUUCCUUGGAUAAAGCUUAUCUGCAAUCGUCACAAGCAACAUCGGCUUUCCAGAUACUACAGACCACUUUUUCGAAGUGCUCUGAAAAAGUUAAAACACGUGAAUCUUGCAACUCCCACUACAUUGCUAUGACUGAGAAGGGUAAAGGAAUAGCGUUACUACUAGCUAUUGGGACAAUUUCUAUAUAUGUCGACCUCCAUCCUCCACAACCAGGCAUACCUGUAAAUAAAAAAAAAUGCUCAACUUUUAUUCACAUCCAAGAAGGCACUCCCAAUAGAGUCUCUCGAAAUACUCAGCUUCUUCCCCCUCCCCCCCCCCGGCGAUAAUACUUAUGCAAACAAGUCACACCAAAGUAAGAGUAUCUCAUAUCAUGAGGGUUAAAAGAAAAAGUAUCUCAUAUCGUGCUUUUUCCCUGUAUUUUCCUUUGCCCUUACUCUUACCUGCAGGACAAAGAGAAAAAACAUAAUCAGUCAGAACCUAAAAUCAAACUUCCGAUCUGGAACUGAUUGCCCGAAAUAUUUGCAUGGUUGUUUGCCUAACAUUGCUCUCGAGUACUCAUCCUCAAUUGUUGUCAAGGUCAUAAAGUCCUUCGGCAAAUACCUCAGAACAGUUAAUAUGAUAUUGACGUUUCACACUGAAGCUGCCACGCAUGGAUGAGUUGCUGAGAAGUAGUGCUUUGAAGAACCAUUUAAAUGCAAAGGUUGAAUUCCAUUCCUACAUCGAGGACAAAUGUUGUAAGAGAUUGAAACAUAAUGAUCAAUGAUGAGCUAGAACAUAUCACUACAACACGAUGCCCUUCCUGCAGAACCACACAACCCAGACAGAGGAGUCUAAAUCAAAUCCAAACCCAGCAUCGCUGCCCUAUCCGAAGAACUUGAGAAUCUUCAACAACCUUUUGCUGACACCAUCACCAAAUAGCAAAGCUUCGCCAUACCACACCCACUACUUUAUCAACAGCAAAAGUAUCCCAUAUCAUUAGGGUCGAACGUACUCUAGAUUUGAUGGACUUGUUUUGACCCUUAAAUUCUUAAGUCGGCCUUAUACUUUGGAGGAAACCAGAAAACCCUUCAACCCAAUUCAAGAAUAAGCUUGUGGAAAGUUACUUCUUCAAAAGUAAAAGUAUCUCAUAUCAUAUCUUCUCCAUUUGCUUCUCCUUAUCCAUGUUGCUGUUUACGACACAAUGAGAAGGAGAACAAUCAACCGGAAGCCGAAGUCGAACCUCUGAUCCAGGUUGCUUGCUUGGAAGUCUGAUUGCUUACCUUGUCUGUUACCUCAUUCGGCAAAUCUCCUAACUCGGCGACUUGGAUGACUCUUACUAUAAGGUUUGUAUCGCACUUGACCAAGCCAGAAAUUACAAGUAAGCUUCAAUUGAUACAUUACCUUGUGCAUCUUCAUCGAUUAAAGAUACCACCCUUGGAUGAAGGAAAAGUACUUCCAGAGAAGAUGCCACAUCUACAUAUAAGACAGAUAAGGCAAGUGAAAAUGAUACCACACUUCGGUACUUAGAAGUUUUGUGAUUACUUAAUGGCUUGGAUCUUGCAAGUCCCCAAUCGAGAAGCUUCCCUCACUCGGGAACUUAAAGGAGCACUGUUUGUACCAUACUUGACCAACCCCGAAACUACUAAGCACCGGUCAACAUUAUACCACCAAGGACCCACAAGAGUCUCCCUCCAACCAGGAGACCAAUCAGCGACACAUGUCAACAUCAGAGACCAAUCAUAACGCGACACGUGUCGAUAUCAGAGGUCAAUCACAACACGACACGUGUCAAUGUCAGAAUGAAACUAGAAACUCACUUCUAUAAAUAGAGAUCAUUCUCUCACAAUAUUUUCUAAUGUUAUUUGUACUAAAUCAUUCGCUAGUACUCACUAAAGGAGAGCUUGAACCUAUGUACUUGUGUAAACCCUUCACAAUUAAUGAGAACUCCUCUACUCCGUGGACGUAGCCAAUCUGGGUGAACCAUGUACAUCUUGUGUUUGCUUCCUUGUCUCUAUCCAUUUGCAUACUUAUCGACAUUAGUGACCGGAGCAAUCUAGCGAAGGUCACAAACUUAACACUUUCUGUUGUACCAAAGUCCUCACUGAUUUUGUGCAUCAACAUGACUCAUUUUGAUGGAAUUCUGAUGUUGAUGAAAAAGACCAUAUAUGCAUGUUUUGACUAGUUAAGAGACUAAUGGUCAUGGCAAGUGGCCUUUUACCACAAUGGUGGAAAGGUGUUGAGCCUUUCCAUAGCAGCAUUGGUUCAAAUCUUGUUCGGUGUCCAACAUCCUAAUCUAACAAAUCUAUCAUUUGACAAUAAAAAAGAGACUACUGGUCAUGAAUUUUUAGAACAUCUCUAAAGAAGAUGUCAAAUUUGAAACAUCAAAUUGAUAUUUGAUGGCUUAUGUGGCGAAUUGACAUUUUGUACAAUUUUUUUAUUCACUCGAUAUGUUAAAUGAUAAUUCCAUUCUAAAUUUUUUUUUAUCACUUUGUAGGGUCCAUUUAUUGAGGCAACCAAUCUAAUUCUUAGAAUACACAACAACAUUUAUUAUAUGCAUUAAAUGUAAUAAAAAAAAAUACUAAAUGCAUUUGACAGUAGAAGACUUUGCCUUCAAUUGACUCAACGCCAUGUAGGAAAUUGAAGGCUCAGUUGGAGAGAGUGUGCUGCCAAUUUUUACUAUUAUAUACUUAUACGACAGUUUUGACAUCUCCUUUAGCGAUACUCUUAGUUGAAGAAUCAUUACUCCAUUGAGUUAAAGUUGAUGAACUAUUUCUACAAUUUUCUCGGAUUUCAUUUGUUGUAGAAGAGAUCUAAUGUAAGUUCCAGCUAUGUGAUGGUUAGCCGUCCAUAUACACAUAGCGACACUGUGAAAGUGAUAGUGUAAAGGGAUUACAUUUGAGAGAAACUCUAAUUUGUGGAACAUUGAAUUUGUGAAACAUCAAAAGCUUGAGAGAAACUAUUUUUUUAAUUAUAAUUAAGAUAAAUAAAAUAUAUCAAAUUAAAACUUUAAAUAGUCCUGGAAAACCCUUGAAAGAAAAACAAAACAAGACAUUACAAAAAAAUUGAAAAUUAAUUUUAAGACUUAAAAGGUGUUUUUAACCUAGGAAAUUUUUGAAACAAAUUGAUCCUAUUUUGCAACGACGAGUUGGACUCAUCUCUUUUUUUCCUGUUCAGAAAGGUAUUUUGAACCAUCACUGAAACACUAUUUACACUAAAAUUCACCUUUUUGAUAUGCUCGUUCAGCCUUACAUCAUACACAAGUAAUAUUUAGUCAUUAAAACCUACAUAGUCUAUAUUUUAUCAACCAUCACGCGUGAAUGACUGAGCUUUACAAAAUCAUGCACAAAUAGAGACCAUUUUUUAAGUAUAAUUGGUUUGUGUCCCUCCAUUCUUGGAGGGUGGGGAGGGUUAUGCAUUUGCUGGUUAUUUUAUGUUGGGGGAUAGAAACCCAAUUGGGGUUCACUUUCUUUUGGGAUUUGGACAAAUGCAGACGGGGGCCUCAUGUUAUGUUCUCAAACAGGAAAGGGGUGAUUCAAGUGGUCCCAUUUGGCACUUGCUGUAUAAAAAUAAGAUGCUGGGGAGAGAUGGACUGAUGGAAGGGAAAGCUGAAUCUUUGUGUAAUCAGAUCUCAAACCUACGAGUUUUCAUUAAAGGGAGGGCUCUAUGUCCUUGCAUGUGGACCAGGACAAGGUGAUGUAAUUUGUCUAUAAAUGAUGAAACAGUCGAGUUGUGGGAAAUAUGUAGAUCGAUUGACAUGAAACCUUUUUAUCUUGUCCAAACAGUCAUCAAAUUCUAAUAUGUUGAAAAGCUGUGUGGAGAAUGGAUAUAAUUAGAUGACUAGAUUUCUUCAUAAGUAAUCCAUUUACGUACCUUAGUUAGUGGGGUGUAUAUUGUUUUUCUGCUUCUUCAUAAUCCCAAAUGAUCGUAUAACUAAUAUGGUCAUUGUUUGUACCAUACUUGACCAAUCCCGAAACUACUGAUCACGGGUCAACAUUAUACCGUCAAGGACCCAGAAGAGUUUCCCUCCAACCAGGAGGCCAAUCACAGUGCGACACGUGUCGACAUCAGAAGUCAAUCACAGCGCGACAUGUGUCAACAUCAGAAGCUAAAUGAAACUAGAAACUUUCUUCUAUAAAUAGAGAUCAUUCUCUCACAAUAUUCCUAAUGUCAUUUGUACUAAAUCAUUCACUUGUACUCACUAAAGGAGAGCUUGAACCUAUGUACUUGUGUAAACCCUACACAAUUAAUGAGAAUCUCCUCUACUCCGUGGAUAUAGUCAAUCUGGGUGAACCAUGUACAUAUUGUGUUUGCUUCCCUGUCUCUAUCCAUUUACAUACUUAUCCACACUAGUGACCGGAACAAUCUAGCGAAUGUCACAAACUUAACACUUUGUUAUACCAAAGUCCUCAUUGAUUUUGUGCAUCAACAGUUAUGAUAAGCCAAUGUUCUUUGAUCACAAACUGUUGAGAUGUGAGUGAUUAUGUGUUGACUGGUAGCCAACAAAAUACACUAAGAUAUUAUGAUACAUUUAUCGACAAUAUAGGUACUCUUUAUCAACAAAAUAUGACAUCCUGCACUAUAUGUACAAGACUAACCAUGACUCAUAAAUCCUAAAGCUACAAAGCAAGGCGCACCUCUUCAUGUGGAAACUUGGCAUACCAAUUCAUCCAAAUUACAAUAUGUAGUAUCGUUGAGUCUAUAUGUUGUAAUGUAAGUGAAUUGGUGAUAUAACGUGAUAUUAUUACUGUCAUACUAAAUUUUAUUAACAAAAAUUAAGAAUAUUGUUUUGUCCAAUCAUAACUAUUUUUGUUGACGUUUGCAUGGCACAACCAAAAUCGUAUGUCACGUUGCACUUAUUCUCUAAAGCAAACCUAACUCACUUUAAACUCCUACUGCACUCUCCACGUAUAUUUCAAGUACUUUUUAAGAAGUUAUUUGUAUCAUAUAGAAAACCUUACUCAGAUCGCUACAAUUAGAAGAAAUUAUUAGGUAGUAUAUAUAGGGGUGUGAUAUCCACACAUCUUUUUUUACUUCUCACACACCCUUCUAAUUUUUGGCCGUCGGAUCGGAUAAAAUGAAGAAGAUCAACGAACAUAAAUUAACAAGGGGUGUGUGAGAAGUAAAAAAGGGUGUGUGGAUAGCACUAUCCACACAUCCCUUUUUACCACACAUCCUUUUUUACUUCUCACACACCCUUUGAUAAUUUAUGUCCGUUGAUCUUCUUCAAUUCAUCCGAUCCAACUGUCGAAAAUUAAAAAAGUGUGUAAAAAGUAAAAUGGGAUGUGUGGAUAUCACACCCCUAUAUAUAUUUAUUUGAUGGUCUGAUGGAUGAUGGAUCUCUGUUCGCAAGAGUAAUAAUUCUUCACAAGUUCGCAUCAGAAACAUUGUUAUCAUGUCCUUUAUCUAGUUGUCAUCAUCAUAAGUUAAGGAAAUACCAAAGUAUAUUAGCUUUAGAUACGUUUAACAAAACUAUUCUCUUUUUGGUUUAUAUAUAACCGCCCAACAGUACGUAUUAUUAUCUUCGAAUAUCAUGUGUACGCGUACAUUAGAAAAAUAAAAAGUAAAACAAUUGUUUCUCACAACGGAAAUUCCUAUUGAGUAGUUCGAUAUGUUUGCUCGUAUUAGCAAUAUUAUUUGUUAUCUGGAAAUAGUUGAUGAACCAUUAAGUUCAAUUGAAAAAAAAAAAGUAGGAAGAAUUAAUAGUGGGUUUUACAAAUAUGUUUUCAAUUAAUCAUGAACAGAAACUCAACCAGUAAAAGAAGGAAUGAGUAGAGGAGACUGAUUGUGCCAAAUGAUCCUCCUACUCCAAGCUGCACUGGUUUGUGUGCGUACUCUUAUGAAUUGCAGACUUGCAGAGAGUUGUCCAGCUGCUCUGGCGUAUAUACGUACUUCAAGCUUCACUUACACCAUGUAUGGUAGAGAAUCCCACCACAAAGAAAGAUCACACAACACAAAAAAGGGAUCAUCAAUCAUGAUUGCUUAGAUGAUAGAGUGCCGUGUACAUCAUAAGAUAUAGUUUUCUUUUCGUCCUUUGUGCGGUUACAAACUUACGAGUUUUCGUACUCGAAUUUCAUGUAUUUAUUAAAUUUUCAAGACAAAAGUAGAGCCUUGUACACUGAAUUUGCAAUUAACAAGUCAUUAAGGUGAUCUUUAGACAUGCAGAGGUAAACUUAGCGUCGAAUUUAAGCUAUGUUUUAGCUCUUCAAAAAUUAGAUUUUGUAAAGAAUAGUUCAUGUCGUCUUCAUCUCCAACAUUGGAUGGCUAUAUUUCAAACCCCUUAAUAUAUGUUAUAUUGUAGUGCUAAGUAAAAAUUAUGAUACAACACAUUAUAGAAAUAUAAAUCAAUUUUAAGGAAAUAUGAGGGAGGCUUGUAGGCUAUGACUCACUAAUCAUGAUGCGGGAGCCAAGGCUUUAAAAAAUUAAAAAAAAAUUGAAAACUUCUCGUUGGCAUUGGAAAUUCAAAUAAUAAAGGCAUUGUAAUUUAUUUUAAUGACAUAGGAACUUGUUAAGUCAUUUCUAGAGAGUUUUUUAGGAAGUUGUGGUCUAUUUAUGCUUCUUUAUCUUUAGUUCCUUUAAAUAUUGAUGUAUUAGAAGCCAUUGCUAGACUUGAAUGAAUUAAAAUAUAUUUUGCUUUGUGCAAUUGAAGUGAGUGAUUUCUCCUUCCCCAAUCAAGCAUUUGGCUUGGUCAUCCAUGAUUAACGACGUGAGAUAGCUCCGUUGCCCCUGGUUGAGCGAAUCCCAGGUUAUCUAUUCCCUUCUCCUCGAUACCCUUGGUUCUGUCCUGCAUCAAAUGGCAUUAGAGCAGGUUUUCCGCUGCAGUUGAAAAUCAUGGCUAUGAUUAUCAAUCCGUUUCAAGAUCACAUCGUUGAAGAGAUUAGUUUCAUCGAUUGGAAUUCACCACCAAUUUAUGAUGAAUACGUUGAUGAAGACGAAGUCAAAAAUCAUUUUGUGAAUGAAGUUAAUGACAUCGAGCCUUCCAUGCAUCAAAUGGUAAUCUGUUACUGCUAUUCAUCUUUUGGAUGCUACAAGGAUCUUCAAAGUACUCCAAGCAUGAUGCAAAUGGAGAUGCUUCAGACCUACAAGGAAUGGAUGAUGGCAAGGUGCUACUGAUGUCCCAAAUGAAUUUUGAAAAGAAUUUCAGACAGUCUACAAUUUUUGUGACUUCAACAUGGAUGGAACAAGGCGAUGUCCCUCCUUCCUCAAGCCCAGCAAUGAUGCUUAAAGAGGCCACUCAUGUGAUAAGUUGCGGUUAUGAAGACAAAACUGAAUGGGGUUUAAAGAUAGGUUGGAUUUACAAAUUUAUCAUAGAGAGCAUUCUAAGGGGUUUCAAGAUGCAUUCUAGUGUGGUUGGAGGUCAUUUUCAAUCAAAAAGAAGGAACCAGGGCCUACAACGUUUGAAAGAAUGGGGAAAUGGUAUUUUCAUGAAUAUUUUGUGGCUUGGAACACUUUGAUCGCCGUGAACUUCAUUUUACUAUUGUGGUUGUUGUGGAAGAAUCUGCAAGGUCAUCCCAAAGAUCGAGGAAGACCAAAUGGAACUUGAGGACGAGUUUUCUUCGAGAAUGGGAGAAUGAUGCGGGAGCCAAGGCUUAAAAAAACAAAAAAAUAAACACAAAUUGAAAACUUCUCGUUGGCAUCGGAAAUUCAAAUAAUAAAGGCAUUGUAAUUUAUUUUAAUGACAUAGGAACUUGUUAAGUCAUUUUUAGAGAGUUUUUUAGGAAGUUGUGGUCUAUUUAUACUUCUUUAUCUUUAGUUCCUUUAAAUAUUGAUGUAUUAGAAGCCAUUGCUAGACUUGAAUGAAUUAAAAUAUAUUUUGCUUUGUGCAAUUGAAUUGAGUGAUUUCUCCUGCCCCAAUUAAGCAUUUGGCUUGGUCGUAUGAGUGAAUCCACGAUUAGCGACGUGAGCUAGCUUCGUUGCCCCUAGUUGACGAAUCUCAGGUUAUCUAUUCCCCUCUCCUCGAUACCCAUGGUUCUGUCCUGUAUCAAAUCAAGUGCGAGAUUUCUCCUCUAGAUCAUUGAUUAAGGAGUUCAUAUUUCUCUGAGCUUAUCAUUUAUAAGAAAGAGAUGUUGUAACAAAGUAUCCUAAAAUGAAAUCCUUGGUACCGAAAUGAUUAGUCACUUCUUCAUUCAGUACAGUUUUUUUUUCUUUUCUUUUUUUUUUUUUGCUUCAAAAGGGAUCAUGGCUUCGCCACGGUAAUCUACCUUUUUGAAGGCCAGAAAGACUCACAAAGGCAUUUCAGCCUCUCUGGCCCAUCGUGCUAUUCACAAGUGCAAGGAAUUGAACCCAAGAGAUACCGUGUGAAAUACAUAUCUUAAAUUUAUCCCCAACCACUAGACCACCCUGUGGUGGUAUCAUUCAGUAUAGUUAAUUUGAUAUUUAAUUGAUAUUUCCAACUCAUUUAGUUAUAUACUUUAGUUUAGAUUAAAUUUCCAAACCACGUAGUUCUUUUCCCAAUUGACUUGAUCUGGUCACGGAUUAGUAAUAGAACUUUGAAAUUAUUGAUAAUUAUGUGACAGAGAAAAUCCUUAAAACAGCCCGCCAGAAGAUAAGUGCUAGUUAAUAGAGGUAGGAGCAAACAUUCAUGAAAUGAAAUGUCAGGUUCAUCAGUCUUCUCCCCCACUAUAACUAAUUGAGCUGUAUGUUGAUUAAUUAAGAAGAAUCAAGUAGUUAGGCCCUUCCAUCAUCUUCACCUACUACUAUAAGUUCCAACAAUUAUAAUACUAAUCUAAUUGGGCCAACAGAAAAUUAAUGUAACACCUCAUUCACAACGUACCAUAACUAAUUUAAUGUGAUAUUCUGCAUCCAAUAGGAAGUUUUCAAAUUGAAAUCCAACUUGCUUUAUAUGUAUAGGGUGAAAACGUCAAACAUGUUUGGUGGGUUUUAAGUCAGAUUUGGGUAUUUUAAGUUGGGUUAGAAGGUUUAUUAGUUUUCAGCCAUUAGAUUAAUGCAACGGGCGCGUAGAGUGGUUAGUUUUCUAUUACAUUUUUAACUAGUUAGCGCUUGAACACUCUUGCAUAAUACGUAACAAAUAUAAUGUUUGGUUCAAUAUCGAGGUUGAGGAUGAGAAUUAUAAAUUUUCCAGUUUGAGAUAUAUGGUAUUCGAAUUAAAAGUUUUCUAUCAGAAUUAAAACCAGAUCAAGGAAACAAGAAUAUAGUUGAUAGCCAACUAGGUUAAGUUGGGCAGUUUUGUGUCUUAGAAGAAACGCCGACUCUCGUUCACAUCCAUAUUGAGUUAAGAAAUUAAAGUACAAAAUGCCUAUGAGUCGAACAAAGGAACGUUGAUCUUGGGAAAUUUACAACAGGACGAGAACCUGAAAUCAUCAUUUCAAAUGUGUAGGUUGUUAUAUAUGUGCAUCACAUGACCUCUAUGAUAGCAGUGUUUAUCUAGGAUGCGUGAGAGUGUGCAACGGGCUAGGGCAGCUUGACCAUGCCCAGUUUAAUGUCAACCUAGCACAACACAUCAUGAUUUUUUGAGGACUAGGGCAAGCAUGGGACACGCCAUGGCGUGAGACACGAUUUUCGUUGCACGUCUCUGACGCGGGCACGAGCUCAUUGUGAGCUGGACUCGUGCGAAACCCUACCUACCUCCAAACUACAUGCAACUAAAACGUAGUUUGAAUUAUAUGAUAUCCAAAAUAUCAGAUUUAUAGGUUUACCCUCCCUAUAGCUGGAUGACAUCCCGACUACGGGAGAGGCAAGAAUUCAUUCCAGGGAUUUCAAGUAAUUGACCGUGUCAAGGAAGAGUUGGAGAAUAUUUGCCCCGGUGUAGUGUCAUGUGUGGACAUUCUCGUGGUGGCUGCGAUAGACGCCGUUCUGAUAUUCACUCUUAAAAUAAUUAGUUCUCCGCUUCAACUUUAUUUUACUUUACUUUCCACACACCAUUUCUGGCUUCGUCACUGUUUGGACCUGAUUUUACACAUCGGCCUAAGCAAUCGAGGCCGUUGAGUAAGCAUGGUUCUCAACCGUUGGAUAAGAAAGUUUAGAUAUUAUUGUUAAGAGAUAAUAUUAUGAUUUUUAAUCAUAAUAAUUAUUUUUUUUAUAAGUUAUCCCGGUUUUUUAUGCAAAAUAAAUGGGAUGGAGGCAAGUAGAGUUGUGAUGGGGACGUGAGCUUUGAAUCAUGUUGGUUUGUUUUGCUGGACAUGCAUGCAUGGGAUGUAAAGAUAAUGAAGUGAUAGGGGAUAAAUCCAAACAUGCCAAAACGUGUAAUUUGCAAAAGAAUUGUGCAAUAUGGAGAUUCUAUCCUAAUGCAUGGUUUUUUGGGUUUGGUUUUGUGCACGUGGCAUGCGACAAUGGAGAUGAUGGUUUUGCAUGGUGAUGGCAAUAUGGGUUUAAAGGUUUCUCAUGUUUUUUUAAUAAGAAGCCUAGGUGGGUUAGAUCUCUAGUGAGAUGUGAUAAAGCCUAGGUAGGCUUUAUUUAUCUGAAGGAUAUGUGCGGCGUAUUUGAUACGGGAUCAGGGUCAAUUCCACAAAAUAGAGUUGCAGUUGGACUCUACAAAAUUAUUUGGCCGCGUCACACAACAUUUGCUCCUAUAAAUACAGAGAUAGUGGCAACGGAAGAAAGACCCCUGCAAAUCAAUACAAAAUUGCCCUGCGCAAAUUCUCACAACUUGUGAUUUUUCUUUUUCCUUUUUCGCUGACACAUCUUCCGUUGGCGUCAACAGCACUGUGGAAGCAACCGGUGAUAUCUUAAGUCGGCAUAGAUAGCUCUGUCACCGUAGAAUCAAUCGGUCUCGCAGUAUCUUCCGUUGGCAUCAACAGCACUGCGGCGAGAACGGUUAAUUACCUAUCCAAGUCUCGGUCGAGAAGGGUUUCUGAACCCUUAUUGGUCGAUGUCAUCUCAUCAGCCUUCUCGGCGAAGUGAGGUGUUACACGUUAUUACGUUCGGCAUAUUGAAAGCCGAAUUUGAUAUUGAACUUCGUAAGAAUAGUAACCUUGUCUUCAGGUUCGAGAGCCCAAGAGGCCGAGACGUGUUCCUUUCUCGGCCGCAAUCGCAAGACGCAGAAGUCAGCCGCGCACCCAACGCAACAUCAACAAAUUUACUCCUUGGCCGAGCUCGGCCGACGAGUUGGCACGCCCUGCAUUCACCGAAGGACGUAGUUAGCUCAUUAAUUAUUCGGCCUGCACGCCACGUAGGCUUUGUAGUUUUUAGGGUCAACAUUUUGGCACGCCCAGUGGGACCCAGUGCUAAACUACGAAGUUCACAUGAUCUAUCUCGAUCCGGCUUCAAGGGAUGAGUGUUAUCGCCUAUUAAAGGAGCAAAAACAACUUCUCGAAAGUUUGAGAAGAAUUUCUGAAAGGCAAAAGGCCGAGGGGCAAAUCUCCACUCCGGCCACAACCAAUAUUCGGCCUAAGAAAAGUGAUAAUUUGGCCGAAGAACAAAGGCCACUUGUUGUUUCGGUAGAGACUGAAAAUAUAGUAGGCCUAGAAGAAAAAAUUCAAGUCCCUAAGCUAUAUACAAAAAUUGACUUGGAAAAAGAUUCGUCAAAAGAAUGCUCUAGUGACGAACGAGGCCGAAAUAUUGGCCUAGCCCGAGAAACUACGCCAAUUGAUAUGAUUAUUGGCAAUAAAGCCGAUAUGGAGAAAUCCUGUUCGGCUAAGUUAUUUGAAUUAAAAGCCGAAAUUAUGCUUGGGGGGCUGUUUGGACUCAAAUUUACACCAUCGGCCCAUGUAAUCAAGGCCGUUGAGUGAGCAUAGUUCUCGACCGUCAGAUGGAAAAGUGAAGAUAUUUUUGUUAAAGGAUAAUAUUAUGAUUUUUUAUCAUAAUAAUUAUUUUUUAAUGAUGAAUUAUCUUGAUUUUUUCCUGGUACAAGAUGGAUGAGAUGUAAAUGUAGUUCAAUUUGAUUUGGGAUUCUUGGAGUUAAGACGCGUGGUGGAUUGGGAGCAUCAGAGCACGUUAUUAAGAGUCCUAAUACACUACUGCAUUGUUGGCAAAUGGAAAUUGGCAGAGAUAUUAAUGCUUGCAUAAAGAUGAAGAUGUUAAAUUGGAGAUGGAUAGCCACGUGUGAGUGGAUUUGGUGGAGCCAUGCAUGCAUAUCAUUAUUUCAAGUCAAGAUGCUUAUCGGCACUAAUUGGUAUAUGCUAAUAUGCUAUUAAUUAGCAAGAGGUGGUUGCAUGUUGGUAAGUGAUAACAAUCUUUUUGCAUGAGAUUGUUAUGAAUGAGGACUUUGAUGUUGGCGGCAGCUUUACAACACGAGCCGUCAGGAUGAGGAUGAUACUUAUAAAUACAGAGUCGCAAACAACGGGUAGGACCCCUGCAAAUCAAUACAAAAUUGCCCUGCGCAAAUUCUCACAACUUGUGAUUUUUCUUUUUUCCUUUUUUCGCUGACACAUCUUCCGUUGGCAUCAACAGCACUGUGGAAGCAACCGGUGAUAUCUUAAGUCGGCAUAGAUAGCUCUGUCACCGUAGAAUCAGUCGGUCUCGCAGUAUCUUCCGUUGGCAUCAACAGCACUGCGGCGAGAACGAUUGAUUAUCUAUCCAAGUCUCGAUCGAGAAGGAUUUCUGAAUCCUUGUUGGUCGAGGUCAUCUCAUCAGCCUUCUCGGCGAAGUGAGGUGUUACAAGUGACUACAUUCGGCACGUUGAAAGCCGAAUUUGAUAUUGAGCUUCGUAAAAAUGGUAACCUUGUCUUCAGGUUCGAGAGCCCAAGAGGCCGAGACGUGUUCCUUUCUCGGCCGCAAUCGCAAGACGCAGAAGUCAGUAGCGCGACCCAACGCAACAUCAACAAAUUUACUCCUCGGCCGAGCGCGGCCGACGAGUUGGCACGCCCUGCAUUCACCGAAGGACGUAGUUAGCUCAUUAAUUACUCGGCCUGCGCGCCACGUAGGCUUGGUAGUUUCUAGGGUCAACAUUUUGGCACGCCCAGUGGGACCCAGUGCUAAUACUACGAAGUUCAUAUGUUAUAUCAAGAUUCCAAUCUGGCUCAACGUAGCUGAUUGUACGAGCUCCUGGAGGAAUUGAAAAAACAUAAUGAGGAAUGCAAAAAAUCUUUGGAAGCAGAAAAAGUUCUUCGUGGCCAUAAAGAGAUGCAAAAGUCAUUCGCUUGCAUGGUGAAAAUAAAAGCUCCUGUUACCCUGCAUGGGUAAAUGAAGACAGGGCUCGAUUUAAUGCCUGGCUAGAUGAAGAACGUUUUCCUUACGUUUCUGAUUACAGAUCAAUUCCAUUUGAAAAAUGGUUAGGUCCAAAGGCCGGGGGGCAAUUUUUCGCUCCGGCCACAAUCAAAAUUCGGCCUCAAAAAAUUGUUAAGGCGGCCGAAGAAAUACUUAGGCCACCUGUUGUUUCGGUCGAGAUUCAAAGUGUGGUAGGCCUAGACGAAAAAGUUGAAGUUUCUGAGCUAAAAAUCGACUCAGAAAAUGAUUCGUCAGAAGAGUGCUCCAAUGACGAACAAGACCAAUACACGACUUCAAACCAUAAAAUCACAUCGAUUGAUAUGGUAAUUGAAGACAUAGGUCUAGCCGAAAAAAUCACGCCAAUUGAUCUGAUUAUUGGUGAUAAAGCCGAUAUGGAGAAAUCCCGUUCGGCUAAGUUGCUCGAGUUAAAAGCCGAAAUUGGUGAAAUAAUUAUGCCCAGGGGGCAUAAUACUUGUUCCACACAUUCGGCGGCUGAAAAUGCAAAAUAUUUUGCCGAGUCAAAAAUAUUUGGGAAAAAUUCUUUAUUCGGCCUAGAGCGAAAUCAAUUUGAAAAUUUUGAUGCAAAAAGAUCUUGGCUUGGAAUAAAACAUCGUUGGUCUCCUCCUGAUUAUGGUUCGGCCACUUUUAUUUUCGUUUGCUAAAAUAUUAAAUAAAUUAUUUUCUUAACUAUUCGGCUUUUUAGGCCGAUGCAUAAACAUAAAAAGGGGGUAGUAUUGUUUUGACCGAUUUGUGUUCGGAUUUAAGAUUUAUUCGGCAUAUAACAUAUCAUGCAGAAAUUAAUCAUGGCAUGAACUGUUCUAGCACGAAGUGUUACAAUUUGGCGUCAAAGCAGGAGUUGAAUCAUGGCAUCUGCAAUUAGAGUCUCGGCCAAAAGAGUGGUUGCCGAGCCAUUCAAUGCACCUGGGAUUGGUUUGGCCGAAUAUAUAUAUAUAAGAGUUUAGCCGAACUCUCGACUACCUUACAAAAGCCUCGGCCAAAGCUGCAUAUAUAUGAUUCGGCCAAAACUGUAUAUAUAUAUAUAUAUAUAUAUAGGAAUUGCUUAAGGGGAGGGAUCCCCAUUUUUUCAAAAAAAUGGGGACACACUCCCCACCGUUGGAUUUGAAUUAAAUGAAAUCCUGUGGUUGAGAUUCUAUGGCCUGUGUUUUAAUCUCAACCACACAAUUUCAUUAAAGUCAAUCUAACGGUGGGGAGCGUGUCCCCAUUUUUUUUGAAAAAAUGGGGAUCCCUCCCCUUAAGCUCCCUGUAUAUAUAUAUAUAUAUAUAUAUAUAUAAAGAAAAUGGGGAUUCUCGGCCACAACUAUAUAUAUAUAUAUAUAUAUAUAUAUAUUGGGGGGGUUGUUUUUAAUGAGGGCAUUAGAGACUCGGUGGACGUCAAAUCUUGGUCAAAUGAGUGGGUCUGAGUUUCAAUGGCCAUGUGGGGUCGAGGGUUCAUGAUUUAUCUUGGUCAUGAUAGAUGAGUGAUAUUCAAUUGGAGGAAUUCAGCACAGUAUUUUGCCGAAUAAGUUUUUAUUCGGCGGUGGUUUCUCCAAUAAUUCUCGGCCAUAUGUUUUUCUCGGUCACUCGGAGGUAGUCAGUCAUCGGUAUUAUUAUUGGUAAAUCAGUAUUAUUGGAUGAUCAGACUUGGUGCAUACAGCUGAGCUAUCAGGGAUAAGGCCGAGUAAUCAACCGAGCUACCAAGAAUUAGUCAUUGCUGAGCCUUGCAUAUAGAAUGAUGGCUACGAACAAUUAAUUUCCUUAAAUAUUCGGCUUAUGAGCCGAAGUUCAAGGAAAUUGGGGGGCAAUGUUUGGACUCAAAUUUACACCAUCGGCCCAUGUAAUCAAGGCCGUUGAGUGAGCAUAGUUCUCGACCGUCAGAUGGAAAAGUGAAGAUAUUUUUGUUAAAGGAUAAUAUUAUGAUUUUUUAUCAUAAUAAUUAUUUUUUAAUGAUGAAUUAUCUUGAUUUUUUCCUGGUACAAGAUGGAUGAGAUGUAAAUGUAGUUCAAUUUGAUUUGGGAUUCUUGGAGUUAAGACGCGUGGUGGAUUGGGAGCAUCAGAGCACGUUAUUAAGAGUCCUAAUACACUACUGCAUUGUUGGCAAAUGGAAAUUGGCAGAGAUAUUAAUGCUUGCAUAAAGAUGAAGAUGUUAAAUUGGAGAUGGAUAGCCACGUGUGAGUGGAUUUGGUGGAGCCAUGCAUGCAUAUCAUUAUUUCAAGUCAAGAUGCUUAUCGGCACUAAUUGGUAUAUGCUAAUAUGCUAUUAAUUAGCAAGAGGUGGUUACAUGUUGGUAAGUGAUAACAAUCUUUUUGCAUGAGAUUGUUAUGAAUGAGGACUUUGAUGUUGGCGGCAGCUUUACAACACGAGCCGUCAGGAUGAGGAUGAUACUUAUAAAUACAGAGUCGCAAACAACGGGUAGGACCCCUGCAAAUCAAUACAAAAUUGCCCUGCGCAAAUUCUCACAACUUGUGAUUUUUCUUUUUUCCUUUUUUCGCUGACACAUCUUCCGUUGGCAUCAACAACAGCACUGUGGAAGCAACCGGUGAUAUCUUAAGUCGGCAUAGAUAGCUCUGUCACCGUAGAAUCAGUCGGUCUCGCAGUAUCUUCCGUUGGCAUCAACAGCACUGCGGCGAGAACGAUUGAUUAUCUAUCCAAGUCUCGGUCGAGAAGGAUUUCUGAAUCCUUGUUGGUCGAGGUCAUCUCAUCAGCCUUCUCGGCGAAGUGAGGUGUUACAAGUGACUACAUUCGGCACGUUGAAAGCCGAAUUUGAUAUUGAGCUUCGUAAAAAUAGUAACCUUGUCUUCAGGUUCGAGAGCCCAAGAGGCCGAGAUGUGUUCCUUUCUCGGCCGCAAUCGCAAGACGCAGAAGUCAGUAGCGCGACCCAACGCAACAUCAACAAAUUUACUCCUCGGCCGAGCGCGGCCGACGAGUUGGCACGCCCCGCAUUCACCGAAGGACGUAGUUAGCUCAUUAAUUACUCGGCCUGCGCGCCACGUAGGCUUGGUAGUUUCUAGGGUCAACAGGGGCAUAAUAAUUGUUCAGCGCAUUCGGCAGCUGAUAAAAAAUCUUUCGUCAAGUCAAACAUAUUUGGAGAUAGUAUUUUAUUCGGCCUUGCAAAAAUUCAAAGUGAAAGUUUUGAUACAAAAAGCCUUCGGCUUGGAAUAAAACAUCGUUGGCCUCCUCCAUUUAUAGUAGGGCCACUUUUGUUUUCUUUUGCUACAAAAUAAGAAUAAAUUAUUUUCUUAACCAUUCGGCUUUUUAGGCCGAUGCUUAAGAAAAUAAAGGGGGCAAUAAGAUGGUGCGGACUUAGAAAAACAAGAAAAAACAAGAUGGUGUACUCGGCAGACAAUUUUGGUCAAAUAAUGGUGUAUUUGGCAGACAGUUUUGGUCGAAUGAAUUUGCGAGAGCAUGCAUGACAAUUGUUCGGCAGACAGUUUUGGUCAAAUGAAUUUAUGGGAGCAUGCAUGGUUGCGAAGCUUGCUCAAUUCAGUUUCGAUGUGCGGUUUAAUAUAUAUAUAUAUAUAUAUAUAUAUAUAUAUAUAUAUAUAUAUAUAUGUCAGAAUGACCCAUCACAUGAAACAGAAAGAGAGACGCAUACGGAAAAGACAAAGGAAUAUUCAUGAAGUUAUGGUAGGCUUCCAUAUGGGCUAACAUUUUCGUUUGGUGAUGUAGUGAUCUGUGAAUUCCUAACAGCAUUAUUUGGCCGAAUACAAAUCUUUGGCCGAAUAAAACAUAGUUCGGCCGAAUAGAAUGGGUUAUAUAUAUAUAUAUAGGCUCUACAGCCAGUUCUUCUCGGUCUCGGCCCCAUUUACUCUCGAUCCCAGUAUUUUUGACCGAUACUAGUGUUUUCUCGACCCCGACAGUUGAGAGUUGGAGUAGUUCACGACACUGGCAGAGGGAGGUUAUGACAUUGGCAGAACAUAGGUGAUUUUAAUACCGAGAGACAAAAUUUGUUUCGGCAAUACGACGAAGUGUUGUUGGCUACGAGCAAUUAAUUUCCUUAACCAUUCGGCUUACGAGCCAAAGCUCACGGAAACUGGGGGGCAAUGUUUGGACCUGAUUUUACACAUCGGCCUAAGCAAUCGAGGCCGUUGAGUAAGCAUGGUUCUCAACCGUUGGAUAAGAAAGUUUAGAUAUUAUUGUUAAGAGAUAAUAUUAUGAUUUUUAAUCAUAAUAAUUAUUUUUUUUAUAAGUUAUCCCGGUUUUUUAUGCAAAAUAAAUGGGAUGGAGGCAAGUAGAGUUGUGAUGGGGACGUGAGCUUUGAAUCAGGUUGGUUUGUUUUGCUGGACAUGCAUACAUGGGAUGUAAAGAUAAUGAAGUGAUAGGGGAUAAAUCCAAACAUGCCAAAACGUGUAAUUUGCAAAAGAAUUGUGCAAUAUGGAGAUUCUAUCCUAAUGCAUGGUUUUUUGGGUUUGGUUUUGUGCACGUGGCAUGUGACAAUGGAGAUGAUGGUUUUGCAUGGUGAUGGCAAUAUGGGUUUAAAGGUUUCUCAUGUUUUUUUAAUAAGAAGCCUAGGUGGGUUAGAUCUCUAGUGAGAUGUGAUAAAGCCUAGGUGGGUUAGAUCUCUAGUGAGAUGUGAUAAAGCCUAGGUAGGCUUUAUUUAUCUGAAGGAUAUGUGCGGCGUAUUUGAUACGGUAUCAGGGUUUAUCUGAAGGAUAUGCGCGGCAUAUUUGAUACGGGAUCAAGGUCAAUUCCACAAAAUAGAGUUGCAGUUGGACUCUACAAAAUUAUUUGGCCGCGUCACACAACAUUUGCUCCUAUAAAUACAAAGGUAGUGGCAACGGAAGAAAGACCCCUGCAAAUCAAUACAAAAUUGCCCUGCGCAAAUUCUCACAACUUGUGAUUUUUCUUUUUCCUUUUUCGCUGACACAUCUUCCGUUGGCGUCAACAGCACCGUGGAAGCAACCGGUGAUAUCUUAAGUCGGCAUAGAUAGCUCUGUCACCGUAGAAUCAAUCGGUCUCGCAGUAUCUUCCGUUAGCAUCAACAUCACUGCGGCGAGAACGGUUGAUUACCUAUCCAAGUCUCGGUCGAGAAGGGUUUCUGAACCCUUAUUGGUCGAGGUCAUCUCAUCAGCCUUCUCGGCGAAGUGAGGUGUUACACGUUAUUACGUUCGGCAUAUUGAAAGCCGAAUUUGAUAUUGAACUUCGUAAGAAUAGUAACCUUGUCUUCAGGUUCGAGAGCCCAAGAGGCCGAGACGUGUUCCUUUCUCGGCCGCAAUCGCAAGAUGCAGAAGUCAGCCGCGCACCCAACGCAACAUCAACAAAUUUACUCCUCGGUCGACGAGUUGGCACGCCCCGCAUUCACCGAAGGACGUAGUUAGCUCAUUAAUUAUUCGGCCUGCGCGCCACGUAGGCUUUGUAGUUUUUAGGGUCAACAGUCACAUUUCAGGUGUCGGCUAACACUACUUAUUUUCGGUGUCCACUUGAAUAUAUGGGUCAGGGUGUGUCAUAAUGAACGCAGGCGAGCAUGGAUUCGCAACGGGGGUUCAAAAUCAAGUAGAUCCGAAUUGAAUCUCACAAAAACCCGACUGGAUUAUCAUCGGGAAGACUGUAGGCUCUCGAGGAUGGGUGGUUUCACCAGAAAAUGGUCAAACAAGGCCGGGGACAGGGACGACGCAAAAAUGGCAUCAUUUGGUCCUAGGGUUUCAGAAUAAGAGCAGCUAGGCUCCUUGUGGCUUGCGACGCAGCUUGGCGACUCGGCUUACACGCUUCAGGUCGUGGCUCGCGCGGGAGGUUGCAGCAACCCUAAUUUUCUUCUUUCUUUCUGUUCUCACACAAUCAUUAAUUCACCACAACAACAUAUAAGCAAAAUAAUAUUAUAAUUCGAAAAGCAUAAAAUUGGGUUCAUGCACUAUGUUGAAGAUUUCAUGCAAUUAGAGCUGGAAAAAAAAUCAAAAUUGAAACCGUAUUUUAGAAGUUACUUAGAUUGUAUGAUCAAAAUUUUGAGCUGUUUUGUAGCAGAAAAUAGCCUCUAGAUUCAUAGCGCAACGUCUAGAGUGUGCUGAUAACAUUUUGUUUCAUAUUUUACUAAAAGAAAGGGAAAUGGUGUGGUGAUAGUGGUGGAGAAAAAGACUCGGAAAAAUUGGUGUAUGUUCCCUUGUGCCAAUGCCUUUAUUUAUAGUAAACAGAAAGAAGAAGCAAACUUGCUCACCAAAAACACAUAGUCUAAUAGAAAAAAAAAAUCAUCUAAAUUACAUAGAAAUCCUAAUUCAAAUCUACCAAAAUUUACCGAAUUAUACUACAUCAAUAUUAAAUGUAACAAUAUUGACUAUGAUCCUACAGUUUUAUUUGCCAGUGUAUGUCUUUUAGCUAGCUUUAUAAUAACUUAUCAAUUUGAAUUUUUUGUCCCAACAAGUAAGCUAAUAUAUAUUAAAAAAUUAGUAUGUGUACACACACAAGAGAGCCAUAUAGUCUUUGGUCUUAUUGUCUCAAAAGUCAGAAGAGAAGACCCGAAGAACGAGCACUCCUCCAUAGUCCACAUUUCUCUACGGUCAUAUUCGGCGGACAAAAUUCUAUGCUCCAACGUCUUCGCUCUCCUUUUUUUUUUUUUUUUUUUUUUUUUUUUUUUUUUUUUUUUUUUUUUUUUUUUUUUUUUUUUUUUUUUUUUUUUUUUUUUUUUUUUUUAGCAAAUGAUAUUAUUUAUAUUAAAUGAUUGAGAUAACAUGUCAAAUUUCACACGUAACUAGCUAUAAUAAUGUUAUUUAAAUUCAUCUUUGACGAGAAUUGAAACUAAGACCUUACUUAUAAGUGAAAAUUAAUAUCAUUAACUCGUAGUACUAAAUAACACUUUAAUCUUUAAAAUUUACAAUCAAACUAGAUUUUUUUUCUCCUUUCUAUAUCCCGUGUUCCAAUUUCCACAUCCACACUUACAAAGUCGUACACGAUGACAUAGCACCAUACCCAUAUAUGGCAUUUGAUGUUUCUAGUCCUCGACUAACAUGAAACGUACAGUCGAUUCUUUCCCUUAGUCCCACUAGUCACAUGUGAUUCCUAUUCUUUUAUAAACAACUUUUUUUUAUUUAUUUUUUUUCAGCCAAAGAAGUUAAUUAAAAUUUUCAAACUGAAAAAUUAUUUAAUCAAUUACAAUAGCAUAAUAUUCAAACUGGAAUUUUUUUUUUUUUAGAGAAUGAUUUUCUACUCAAGAGGUGUGGGGAUUGAACCAUGCCACAUAAGGGGUUAGCUCUUAACUAAAUAUCAAACUCAACUCGAAUAUAAUACAUCAUCGCGAUCCAUAUGAGCAAAACCUGAGACGACUCACUUGAAAAUAGAGAUAAUUAUCACUAAAUCAUAGUACUAGCUGGUCACUUUAAUACAGUACUCACACUUGUAGGCUUUGGCUACACUAGCAUCAAUUAACUCUUGAUAUAACGUAAUUUUACUUCUUAAUAUUAUUCCCAAUUGAUUAACAAAACUACUAUAACAAAAACAAAUAAUAUAACUAAAAUAUGGACUUACGAAAAAUAAAAGAAAAUGAUUUUCGUACAAUUUUCCUCACUCUACGCAUCUCUAUUUAUUUUAAUCUAUCGAUUCUCAUUUAUUUCAUUUAAUUCAAAUACUAGAAAUAAAGUGGCAUUAAGACUAAGAAGGUACAAAUCCCAUCAGCUCAUGGGCAUUAGUGGAAUUUCGCCCUUCUUUAACUGCAUUGUCCCUCCAUAUGCAAGUUAAUUUCACGCGGAUACAAACCCAAUACUUAACUAAGCAACAACAGGCCCACAUUUGACCAACAACUAAUUUAGUCGUAUUUACAUACACACCCCUGUCCCACCACCACCAAGUCAAAACGACGACGUCACCUUCGUCCUCAAAAACUCCUCCAACCUCCACUUCCUUCCAAAACACAACAAACUCAAACCUCUCCGUCUGAGAAACUCUGGAGCACCAAACAAUCAACUCGCCACUAAAAAUGGGGAGGGAGCGGGACCAUCUCUACAUCACCGUUCCCAACCUCUUCCGCUGCCCCAUCUCCAUGGACGUCAUGCGCUCCCCCGUCAGCCUCUGCACCGGCGUCACCUACGACCGCGCCAGCAUCCAGCACUGGCUCGAAUCCGGCCACGACACCUGCCCCGCCACCAUGCAGAUCCUCCAGUCCAAAGACGUCAUCCCCAACCUCACCCUCCGCCGUCUCAUCAACCUCUGGGCCCAGUCCCACGGCCCUUCCUCGCCGGCCUCCUCUCCCUCUCUCUCCUCCCAGCACCUCGCCUCCCUCGUUCAAUUUCUCCGCAAUGAGAACGAGACUGAGAAAUUCAGCCAAAAUAUCGUAAACUCAUUGUCGAAGACUGCCGAUUUCGCGAGGGUCGGCGAGGAGAACCGGAGGUUUGUGGCGAAUUUCGACGGCUUCGUCUCCGCCAUUGUGGGGAUUCUGAACAGAGAAGGCGUCGAAAUCGAAGUUCUCGAAUCGGUAAUUAAGGUUUUGGAUUCGAUUUUGCCUCAAAGCGGAGUCAACGAGCAAUUGAGCCGAUUUAUUGCGAAGAGCAACGGCAAUUACCUCGCUUCAAUUCGAUUGGUACUGCAGAAAGGAAGCCUGAGCUCGAAGAUCGAAUCCGUCAAGGUUUUGGAUUCGAUCGCGCUCGACGCCGAGUCGAAACGAUUAAUCGCGGAGAAGGAAGGCUUAUUGUCCGUAUUCAACGAUCUGUUGAGCUUGGAAACGUGUCAGGACCUAUACGGCGCCGUUUUCUCAUGCUUAGCAUCAUUGUCCGUGAAUCGGUCGAUUAAAGCCGAGCUCGUCCGGUUCGGACUAGUCCGAGUUGUAACGUCAACGCUGCUAAAGCCGGACACUAGCACUACCCUUGCGGAGAAGUGUUUGAAGCUGUUAUCCACCAUUGCCACGUGCGCCGAGGGCCGGUCGGCGAUCAGCGGGGAGGAGAAGUGCGCGGAGGCGGUGGCGGAGAGGCUGAUGAAGGUGUCGAGGGGGGCGACGGAGGACGGCGUGGCGGUGCUGUGGAGCGUGUGCUGCAUGUUGGGGGACAAGAGGGCGAGGGAGAGCGUGGCGGGAGGAAAUGUGGUGGCGAAGGUGUUGUUGGUGAUGCAGAGUGGGUAUGGAGAGGGGCAUUUUGUGAGGAGGAUGUGUGGGGAUUUGGUCAAAGUUUUGAGUGUUGGGUUAGGGUUGGGGUUGAGGUAUGACACCAAGACUAUACAUAUCAUGCCUUGUUAGAAAUUGUUCAUGAUGAUAAUCUUGCUCAUUUAUUUUUUUUUUGGAAAUUGUGAAUUUGGAUAAAAAAUUUUAUAGAAACAAAAAGGAAAAUUCUUUUUAGUUUUGUAGUCAUUGAUCAUCAUUAUGUGAUUGAUGUUGUAUGAUUAGUAGAGAUAUUUUUGUGUGCUGUGAACAUGACCCGGUAUAUUAAGAAUAGUAUUACAAUUCGUUGGAAACUUUAAAAAAAAAAUUCCAAGAAAUUGUAUGUGCUGUGUUUCCGGAAAAAUUUCUUGGGUUUGUGGGGAUGUGAAUAUGCAAAAUUAUGUUGAUAAGAUGGCUUAAGUGAUUAAAAGAAUGAAGAAAUAAACAACUUUUUGUUAAUCUCAUGUUAAUCUUCUUUUUUGAUUUGUUGUUUCUUUUAUUGUUAAUUCAGAAAAGUUUCAUGAUGAAUUUGUUUGGACUUUGAAAAAGGAUUAGGGACAAGAAUCCAAUCCAUCGUAAAAGGGGCAAGUUUUGAUAUGAUUUGCAAGUUAUAACUUGUUAAGUAAGAGAACGUAAGGAGAUCUAUUGUAUACUUGGGUAAAUUUAAUUGGUCUUAAGUUCAAAUUUAUUUCUAAGUAAUUUUGGAGUAAUUGUGAUCAAAUAGUUGUAUGCUUUUUUUUAGAGUGGACUUACAAGUCACAGUUGUAUUGCCUCAACUACGUUUUAUACCAAUAAUACAAUACCAUGCAGAGAAAUUUACACAUAAUGUUGUAUAUUUGGCAUGAGACUAUCUUAGUGAAAAUGUAUCCAUGCCAUAGAAGUCGUCCUCUCUUUUGUGGGUGAGGUAGUUCUGGGCAAUGAACCUGUAUGAAAAAAUAUGAGUUGUUGAGCUAUGCACGAGUGUCAAACGUAACAUGGCUUAUUUUCGUAUCCCUGGUAAACAAACUACAAAAUCGUUGCUCUUAGAACAGUAUGUGUUUAAUUUCAAAAACGAGACAAAAAUGAUUGUAAAGAAAAAACACUAAAUAAGGAGACAAAUUCAGGCUAGUUUGCGUUCGAAUUUUACAGGGUAAGGCAACAACUUGGCUGUAGUAGGCAUCUGGUUUGCAAAAAUCCAGCAGAAAACAAUUGUAUGGACAACAAAUUGCGAUGCUCCGAUGCGACUCUCUAACAAUGUAAAGCUGUUUUGAAGUGGUGAAGGAACAAGGGUCAUGGCGCCAGAUAACCGAGUUGUAUCAGCAACCAUUUUUAUGAGCCUGCUGCCUCGGCUUCCAUGCUCGAUUCUGGUAACUUUGUCAUCUACAACUCGGACUCAAAUAUCAUUUGGCAGAGUUUUGAUACUCCAACCGAUACCAUUGUAUCUGGCCAGCGAUUGCUGGCUAGAAAGAAGCUUGUCUCCAGCAUCUCCGACACAAAUCAUGCAAGCGGAAGAUUUAGACCUUCAAUGUAGCGUGAUGGGAACCUAGAGAUGUACCUGGAGUGUCCAAUUAUAUUACAACCUGAUUGAUCGGUAUGCUUACUCAAAUAGUGGGACGUACAGGGCUGGAGACAAUGAGUCACUCAACGUUGAUCACAAUGGACAGUUAUAUCUCCUCAGUUACAAUAUAAGGAACGCUACGAAUCAGAAAGAGCUGUUUGACACACACACGUAUGUACCACAUGAUGAUUGACUUUGAUUGUAUUACUCCAGUUAUACUUCCAUACUAUUUAUAUUUAAUUUUAAAUUUUAAAUGAUUUUUAACCGCACGAUAUACAUGAACGGACAUAAUUAUGGGAUCCUCCAAAUUCCUGAGAAAAGGACGUCGAACAAGAAUCUUUGGUUGCUCCAUUGUCUCAUUUGACGGACUGAAAUAACGGAGCUAACAAACUGUAAGUACAAAGGACGAAAGUGAAAAGAAAAAGGCUAAAGGGAGGUAAGUGAUAAUUCGAUUUAAACUAACGGGACCAUGAGUGCAAUCUGACUCGCUCCUUAACUUGGAAAAGCCAACCAGGGCGUUCCAAGUGUGAUGAUGAACACGUGCCGAAACACCAUUGGAUUCUGGAGGGGAACCAGUGAGGCCUCCCGCAGCAAAGCCACACAAAAUGAUACACAAGCGAUCUGAGUCGUCGGCGAGGAUCCUUUUCCGUGAAAAAUCGAUCGAAGAAGCAAAGGCAGGUCACUGAAUAAAGAAAUAAAAACACAGAAGCUGAAGCUGUUGCGGGAAAAAGCUUGACCAAAUCAGGGUUCCCGAAUUCGAAUCGCCAACGAGGUUAACCAGAUUAGGGUUUUAACAAAAUUUUUAAGUUACUUUUACCAUGUUGUAAUUGCUUAAUUUUUUUUGCUGAAAUUCAGAAAUUUGCAGGAAAACUGAAAUGGGGGACGGCCUAUGGAACCGCCAGCAGCAGCAGCAGCAGCAGCAUCAACUGGGUCCCUCUGGCGGCGUGCAUAAACGACCUCGUUCCGACUACGGUAACUCCUCUGUGGCCAUUUCUCAUAGUUUUUUUCUUUAAUUAGAUGAAAUUGCGAUUGCAUUCGUUUGCAUUAUAGAUUUAGUUGUCAAACCAUUUAAUUUCUGACUUCUUGUUUAUAAUUCGAGCGAUAUUAUAAUCUAAUCGAAACUAUGGGGAGAGGGGGAUUCGAACUUGGGUGCAGAUGGGGAGCACACUGCUCGAGCCAACUUAGCUAGGCCAAAGUCUGCUUCUUCGUGUUAUAAGUGUUUUUACUUUAGUGGUUCUUGAUGGGUUUCGGGUUUCAAUGUAAAUUAUGUUUCAAAGUGGUGAAAUUUAUGUGAAGGGUCAAGGGUAUCUAGACAAAGGAUUCCAGUUCAGUUGUCUGAUGACUCUGCUUGUAUGUAUCUCCCCUUACUCUAGUAGAUAUGCAGAUUCUGGUUUUGUAGCUAGGUGUCUCUUUUCUUUUCUUUUAUAAAAAUUACAAUAAAUGUUUUGCUUCCAUAGUUCCAUGUGUACUCUUACAUCUUCGGGGUCUUCUUGAAGCAUAUAAUAUAGUCUUAGCCUAUCUGUUCCACUUACUACAAUUGCGAUCAACACUCAUACUCGUAUGAUUCCAUAUAAUAAUGUAUCUUCCACGAAAGCUUUACUAAGCAUAUGAUUUCUGUUAUUAUUUUCUUUGUAACCAGAUCACAGUUUUUGGCCUUCAUGUUUCCUUCGGUCCAUUGUUAAUGAUAUUAUUUACUGGAUUUCAUAUUUAGAGCAACUUUUGAAUGAUUUCCACAUUAGCGGUAGUUUUAGAAGUUACUGGUUGUUAUUAAGUUAUGUUCAAGGGGGGAAAACCUUGUUCGGUGUGUUUGCUAAGACCUGUGUGAAAAUGGAAACUACUACAAAAUCAUUCAGGUUUCCAAUUACAUUGCAAGGUACUUAAGAAUGGAUCUUUUCCUGAACCCAACCAAACCCCAAACCUCUGAAAUUAUCAAGUAGAUUCUUUCCUUUUAGUGCGGUCAGUCUUCCAAUCUAAUACUAUUCUUCAAUAAUUAUGGUAAUAAGAUCCUCCAUACAUAUUUAUAAUGCAAUUAUGUUUAUAUACAAAUUGAUGCAUAUUAUUGGUAUACAUUUUGAUAUAACCAAAUUCCCCUUUUUUUUCAUUUAGUUAUUUGUUUGCUGAGUUGUUCUUGUUAUAACUUCUUAGUCACUGAUCAAAAGCCUAGACUUGUAUAUUGUAUGUAGAUGUUUUGAUUGGUAUGUUUUCUUUGUACUUUUGAACAUUGGUGGCAGUUUUACUUGUUCAAAUACCACCUAGUUGUUAGUAGUGAUAUUGUUCAUUCCGCACCUUGGGUCUAACUCUGCACAUUAAAGAGUAGGUUUUUACCUUGUUAAUUGACGGGGCAUACUCUACUUCCACCUCAUGCUUCUCAAUUGGUUUCUUGAUUUAAGUUCUUCCAUCUGCUUUUUUAUUUUUUAUGCCUUUUCUCUUGUUCUAUAGUUGUAAUAUAUACAGCUGAAUUAGGGUCUAUUUGUUAAUGUUUUCUCAAUGUUGUGCCUUUAAAUAUAGGUAAAUUAUGCGCUUGGUGCAUUAAGUUUGUUAAACAUGGGAAACAUAUUCUGUAAAAUGAUCUCAACUUUUGUUCUUCAAGUUAGGAAACAACCAUUCCACUAUUUAUGUUGUUUUCAGGGGGAUUGUGAAACAUGGUGAGUAGUUAGAAACAAAAAAAGGAACCUUUCAACUGGAAUAAAUGUUUCUGUCAUCCUCAGAGGCUCUGUUGUUGGUCCUCACUUUUCACGUAUAUCUGCUCUCAAAAACCUAUACCAAAAAACCAAACACCCUAUCGCCUCUCUCUUCCUUUCUUUCUCCAUCUCUCUUUGCCUCCUCAUCUCUCCCACUUUCUCUCUACACCCUCAAAACCUGCACUCCAGCCCCACUCCGAACGCCUGACCCAUUCAUCGAAACCAAUAUGUGGAACCUCUUCUCAACCUCCCCCGCCCCCGCCCCCGCAAUGUUGUCGUCUCGUCUCUGAUUUGAAAACAUUUGGUUGUGGGUUGUUUUCAAUAUAAUAAGUUGGACGUGAAUAAUUGUUAGUGAUAAAUUUGGAUGGUAGAGUUUGGUAUUAUUUCAAUUUAAACUGGAGUGGUCAAGAAUUUGGUAGAACUUGUAAAAUGGAGAAACUGAAGAUGGUGAAUCAGACUUGGUUUCAGUUUAAACGGGGAUAGUUAUACCGUACUUGUAUGGGAUAUAGAGCGAUGUUGGAUGCAGCUUUAUUUUAUUGUAUCGGUUUUGUUUUGGUGUCGGAAUGGUUAUACUGUACUUGUAUCUGUUUCUUUAUCUCGUUUUGGUGUUGCUUUAUUUUUUUAUUGCUUUUAAAUCUGAAAUGGUUAUACUGCACGUGUAUUGGAUAUAGGUCUGAUGUUGGAUGUUUAUUGAUAUGAAUGUUCCAUUUAAUAGGGCUCUAACUCACAAUGGUUUUGGUUAGCUUUGAUGCGGGCAUGGGAUAAAUCAAUUUCACUAUUGUGCCGUUUAAAAGGGCUCUUAACUCACAAUGUUUUAAUAUAUUUGUUUGGUUCAUUGAUACGUCUUGUCAAAAUGUGUUUACAUUAGUUACGUGUUUGAACUUUGAUUAUAAUAUUUAGUUGAAAAUAGUUUUUCAAAAUAUUGCUGCCUAAUACAAAUUCAGUAAUUUAAUUUUUUUCUCAUACUAGCACUGAACACAUUUUCACUGUUUUUGUUUUUAGAAACAUUUUUUCAAACUAUUCUACCAGAUGCAUUAUCUAAUGUUAAAUUACAAGAAUGUUAUAUCAUUUUCAUUUUCUGAAAGGUUUUUAUGCAGAUGGUUUUGUAAAACAUCACCUGAUAGGCUCUUACUUUUCUGUAUUGUCAACCUGUCUUCAGGUCAAGAGAUGCAUGGUUAUUUUGCGCGAGAGGAUGAUCUUGGUGGUCCUAGGACUGUAAAGGAUAACAGAUCAAUCGGAUCAGCAUAUGACCGUUAUCUUCAGAAUGCGGUGACUUUCUUAAGCAUUUGAAACUAUGCCUAUUAUUAUUUGUGUUACAUCUCUCUGUUUCUGUACUAAAACAUUUGUCCUACUUGCUUCUAAAGGAAAUGGCUUCGUACACUUCUGGAGAAGCGAGUACUUUUGGUGGAGCUGGAAUGGGAAGGGCUGUUGGUGGUGGAAUGACAGGUCCUCCAAUGGCUGAUCAUUCUAUGAGGGGCCGUCCUGGAGCUAUGUCUUCUGAUGUACUAACAAAUGGUCGAAAUAUGAAUCUUGCUAAUCAGCUCCCAGUUGAUUCAAUGCCUAGGCCUGGACGUGAAACAGUUCCUUUACCUCUGGAUGCAUCCAGCACUUUAUAUGUUGAAGGACUUCCUCCUGACAGCACAAGGAGGGAAGUAGCUCGUAUCCUUUAUGAUGCUUAAGAAUUAUUGCAUAUUGCUUUCCAAUCUUAUUGUUUAACUCAAUAGUUUUUCCAUCGCUCCUCCUUUACAUAACUCUUAAGAUAUCUUUCGUCCUUUUGUGGGAUACAAAGCAGUGAGGCUUGUGAGCAAAGAGUCCAAACACGUAUGUGGGGGUGGAUUAUUGUAAACAAUUACUUUUCUUAGUCAUUCUGUUUUUCUUGAUCACUCUGACUUGAGAUUGUCGUUGUGCUACUUGGUUCGACUCUUGGGAAGUUUAUAAUCUUUCUUCACACUAAUAUUCCGGUUUGUCCAUAAUGCAGCGUGGCGGGGAUCCUCUUAUUCUUUGUUUUGUGGAUUUUGAAAAUCCAGCCUGUGCAGCAACUGCUCUGAGUGCCUUGCAAGGUGAUUGCUUUUUAUUGUCAUCAACCUUGGUGACUAUCAGUGUCAAAGAAAGCUUAAUUCUUUCUUUCUGUUUUUAUUUGUUUCCUUUAUAGCUUCACAAGUGUUAUUUUCUAUCAUACCUUAUUCAAUCAUGUAAAGGGUAAAUUUAUGUUAAAAUUCUUCCAUGCAUAGUAGGUGUAAAGAGGUUGAGGCAGUUCAUAAAAAUGUUAUAGAUGGCUUCUUGUGAUUUAAUAUUGGAGUUCAUAAUAUCUCUACACUACAUAUCGUGUAGAACUAGCUGGAUUGCUCAUUAUUUUCCCAUGUUUGUUGUUUUUGAAAAGCUGGAAGAUGCUGACAUUUGUGUUGCUGGAAGAUGCUGACAUUCAUGUAAUUCCAUGCAUAGUGUUUUAGUAUGUGUAAAGACGUUGAGGCAGUUGAAAAAAAAAAUGUUAUAGAUGGUUUCUUGUGAUUUAAGAUUGAAGUCCAUAAUAUCUCUACACUCCCGAUUGUGUAGAACUAGUAUUGCUCAUUAUAUUUUCCCGUGCUCGCGGUUUUUGAAACGCUGGAAGAUGCUUACAUUUGUGUUGCGUUUGCAGGUUAUGAAAUGGAUGAACAUGCUCCUGAUUCUAAUUACUUGCGGCUGCAGUUUUCUCGGUUCCCUGGUCCUAGGUCUGGACCUGGCCGUAACAAGAGGUGAUAGGCAUUAGGUGAUGAGAAAUAUCUGUUUUUGAUGUAAUCAAGAUUGCAUUUGCUUUUAAUACAUUCCAUAUAUAUAUAUAUAUAUAUAUAUAUAUAUGUAUUGCUCAGGCUUGGGCACACACCAACUGUAAGCACUUCUGAUGCACAUUGUUGUUUCGAGGUAGUGAAUCAGAAACAGUUUUAUAGUUGUGCAAUUAAACAGAGAUCUGAUUUUGCACGUCCAUGGUCUACAAAAUUUGUAAGUGUUUUUAGAAGUGGCAAGUUUCUCAGGCACAAACCCUUUAAAAACUAGUGUGUUUUUUUAGCAUGGAUUUGCAGGCUUCUGUUACAUAUAUCAUAUGGUAAGUGAUUUCCGCUCGCUUUUUCUCCUUGUACAACUCCUUUUUUCCUAGUUUAAGGGUUGGAUAAAUCAAAUCAAAGGAGAAUAAGUGGAAAGAAACAUAAGGUGAAUGCAGGAGGAGAAAAUGGGAACGUGCCGAUGACUACCGAUCAAACUCGUCUUUUCUUGUAACUUCCAACUGCAUGGAGAAAAGCAAGACACUGCGUGAUGAGAAUGGGCAUUGCAUGGUGUCAUGUCUUGUGGUGUUAGAAAUUUGAUCCGAGUCCUUCCCAUUUGGACUACAGUUAAGGACAGGCUCUACUAUGUCCUCCCAAUGCUAAGCACUAGGUAGUGGGCUGCCGACUAGUCUAUGUGCCACUGUACAUAUCACAUGGGCUUUCAACCCAUAAUCCUAUCCUGCUAGAGCUUCCCCCUACCCUUCUUGAAAUUAGUAUACCGUCAGGUAUGUUGCUGUCUCUCAUAUCACGUGACUAAUGAUUCGUUUGGAAUUACUUCUUUCAGAAACACUUAUACUACAAGUGUUUUUAUUGUAGACACGUUAAAUCUUUACAAACAAUCCAAGUGUUCAUUGAAAAAUAUUUGAAAGUGCUUCUUGAAAAAGCAUUUGGCAAGUGCUCCUCUAAAGAUAGUUUAUACGAGUCAAAAGAAUUUCUAAUAUUUUAUCUUUAUGCCAAUCGCAACAGAACACAUUUAGCUUUUCCAGAAUCAAUCCUAAACUAGUUCUAAGCAAAGAAAGGGCAAUAUAACAUAAGGACAACGAAGAAUCUCUCUAACAUUAAAGGUUAUGUUUGUUCGGUCACUAGACUCAAACAAAAGAGAAAAGUAGAAGUGGGCAAUAAAUUGGUUUUCGAUUACCAUCAAAUUGGCACAACAUUCGGCAUUGUUUCGCAAAAGACUGCUUUUUUUUCUUAGCAUUAGUUUUACACACACUCUAGUGUGUGGUAAAAACAAGCUAGGGUUUGGUUGGAGAACAAGUCUGAGCAGUUACAUGCCAUGUGGGCUGGAGGGUUUCGUUUGGUGCCAUUACUCUUUUUUCUUGUUCUAUCAUCCUUGUCGAACUGGAAGAGAAAAAGGAGGGGAAAAGGGAGUUUAGGGCAAAAAGGAUACUGAGUUUAUAAACCAGGAAAUGUCUAAGCAAUUUGUUUGUGCCAACGUGACUGUUAUCUAAAUAUAGCGUACUUGUGGUAUAAAAGAAAAAGGCAAAAAGGGUAACUGUAAAUAGUUGUUGUACUUAAGUGUAAAUUGUCCCACAACUUGUCCAGGGACCAGUGCAUAUAAGUUGUAGCUGCAAGUGCAAGGAGCAACCUCUGGAUUAGAUAGACGGAUGGACUUGGUUUGGUAUGAUUCCAAGUCGUCGUUGAUGUUUCUUCUUCUUUGUGGCCCAGCCACCCAGGACUAUAGUCCUUAUUUGGUAGGUAUUUAUUGCAAGGCUAACUAUAGGAUUGGAGAUAGACAAAGGGAGAUGGGACAUGGAGAAUGGUUUGCCAAGUUUGUUUAGAAUGGAUCGGGAUCAAUGCCCGUUGGAUCCCUAGUAAUUGAAUAUUAGUUAAAGAUUCAACGUCUAUGAAUCUCGGUCUAUGUUAUGAACUGUUUUUACAAUUUUCGUUCAUUGUGUAUCACGUAAUAUGCAUAAUGUUAGACAAUCCACUUGUUUUAUUUGAGACAACUGUAUUUGAUGCACUUCCUAAUUUCUGUUUUCUGACUUGCUUCAAUCUACAUUCUCUUGAUAUUUUUUUUUCCAUUUUACUCGGUUUUAUGAUAGUGAGAACAUUCAACAUGGCCUCUUCUUCCUCAAGUUGCUUCUUUGUGAUACGUAUAUCUGUUUUUGUACUAAAACAUGUAUCCUACUUGCUUUUAAAGGAAAUGCCUUCGUACACUUUUGGAGAAGCGAGUACUUUUGGUGGAGCUGGAAUGGGAAAGGCUGUUGGUGGUGAAAUGACAGGUCCUCCAAUGGCAUGAUCAUUCUAUGAGGGCCAGUCCUGGAGCUAUGUCUUCUGAUCUAUUAACAUAUGGUCGAAAUAUGAAUCUUAUUAAUCAGCUCCCAGUUGAUGCAAUGCCUAGGCGUGGACGUGAAACAGUUCCUUUACCUCUGGAUGCAUCCAGCACUUUAUAUGUUGAAGGACUUCCUCCUGACAGCACAAUGAGGGAAGUAGCUCGUAUCCUUUAUGAUCCUUCUAUGAUGCCUAAGAAUUAUUGCAUAUUGCUUUCCAAUCUUAUUGUUUUACUCAAUAAUUUUUCAAUCGCUCAUCCUUUACAUUACUCUUUAAGAUAUCUUUCGUCAUUUUGUGGGAUACAAAGCAGUGAGGCUUGUGAACGAAGAGUCAGGUUUGUCCAUAAUGCAGCGUGGCGGGGAUCCUCUUAUUCUUUGUUUUGUGGAUUUUGAAAAUCCAACCCAUGCAGCAACUGCUCUGAGUGCCUUGCAAGGUCAUUGCCUUUUUCUUUUCAUCAACCUUGGUGACUAUCAGUGUCAAAGAAAGCUUAAUUCUUCGUUCUGUUUUUAUUUGUCUCUUUAAAGGUUUGUAAAUUUUUUUUCUAUCGACCUUAUUCAACCAUGUAAAUGGAAAAUUUAUGUUAAAAUUCUUCCAUGCAUAGUAGGUACAAAGUGGUUGAGAUAGUUCACAAAAAUGUUAUGGAUGGCUUCUUGUGAUUUAAUAUUGGAGUCCAUAAUAUCUCUACACUCCAGAUCGCGUAGAACUAACUAGAUUGCUCAUUAUUUUCCCGAGCUUGUUGUUUUUGAAACGCUGGACGAUGCUGACAUUUGUGUUGCGUUCGCAGGUUAUGAAAUGGAUGAACAGGCUCCUGAUUCUAAUUACUUGCGGCUGCAGUUUUAUCAGUUCCCGGAUCCCAGGUCAAGACCUGGCCGUAACAAGGGGUGAUAGGCAUUAGGUGAUGAGAAACAUCCGUGUUGAUGUAAUCAAGAUUGCAUUUGCUCUUAUACAUUAUAUAUAUUGCUCAGGCUUGGGCACACACUAAUUGUAAGCACUUCUGAUGCACAUUGUUGUUCUAGGUAGUGAAAUCAGAAACAGUUUUAUAGUUGUGUUGAACGAUCUGAUUUUGCACGUCCAUGGUCUACAAUUUACUCAAGGAAUGUUUUAAUUCUGAAUUGAGAUUGUACUGUGCAUAGACUACCGCAAAAUUAGUACAGAGAUAGUUUCCCUAUAGAUUGUUUUCAUAUACUAGAGGACUUCCAUGGCCAGGGUAUCUUGCCACCAUAUUGUCCCCGUACAUUUUCCCUCCAUAUUAGUUAUAUAUUUAUCUGGACAUUCUAACCUAAUGAAGUCCUACAAUCAUCAUAACUCAUUUUACUUAGCUCAUGCUCCUUACAAUAUUUGAUGAACUCACAUAAGAAACUCAUAGAAAUUUGUUCCCAGUCAUUACCUUUGGACUGCAGUUGAAGCUUAUGAUACAUCCUCCCAAUGCUAAGCACUAGCUAGUGGGUUGUCGACUAAUCUAUGCCACCGUACACAUCGCAGGGGCUUUGAACUCUGUCUCAAUUAUUGUAAAGACGUUAGCCUCUUCAAUGAAAGAACCCAUAGUCCUAUGCUGCUAGAGCUCCCCCCACCCUUCUUGGAAUUAAUAUAGUGUUAGGACAUAUCGCUCUAUUUCUCACAUCACGUGACUAAUGAUUUCUUUGAAGUUACUUCUUUAGGAAACACUUAUACUACAAGUGCUUUUAUUAUAUAGAAUCUUUAUAAGCAAUCCAAGUGUUCAUUGAAAACGUAUUUGAAAGUGCUUCUUGAAAAAGCAUUUGGCAAGUGCUUCUUGAAAAAGCAUUUGGCAAGUGCUUCUAUAAAAGAGCUUAUUGGGUCAAAAGAAUUUCUAAGUUUUUUUUUCUGCCAAGCACAACAGAAUACACAUUUUAGCUUUUUCCAGAACCAAUCCCAGACAAGUUCUAAGCAAAGAAAGGGCGAUACAGCCUGAAGACAACGGAGAAUUUCCCUGACGUUAAAGGUUUUGUUUGUUCGGUCACUAAACCCAAAAAAAUAGAAAACUUGAAGUGGGCAAUGAAUUGGUUUUCGAUUUCCAUUAAAUUGGCACAACAUUCGGCAUUGUUAUGCAAAAAUAUACUUUUUUCUUAUCAUUAGUUUUACACACACUCUAGUCUGUGGUAUAAAAUGAGCUAGGGUUUGGUUGGAGAACAAGUCUACGUGGUAUCAUCACUUACAUUACAUGCCAUGUGGGCUGGAGGGUUUCAUUUGGUGCCAUUACUCCUUUUUCUGUUCUAUAAUCAUUUUGGAACUGGAAGAGAAAGUGGAGGGGAAAAGGUAGUUUAGGGCAAAAAUUUUCCAAUCAAUUUUUUGGCAGUGUGACUGUUUUCGAAAUAUAGAGUAGUUGUGGCAAAAAAGAAAAAGGAAAGGGGUAAUUGUACAUACACAUUGUUCCAAAGGGUCAGUUGUCCCACAACUUGUCAAGGGACCAGAGCAUUAAGUUGUAGCUGCAAGUGCAAGGAGAAAGUUGUGGAUUAGAUAGACCAAUGGAUUUGGUUUGGUUUAAUUCCAAGUCAUCGUCGUUUCUUCUUCUAUGUGGCCCAGCCGCCCAGGACUUUAGUCCUUAUUUGGCAGGUACUUAUUACAAGGUUAGAUAAAGGGAGAUGAUACAUGGAGAACGGUUUGCCAAGUUUGUUAGAGUGGAUCCGGAUCCAUGAGUGUUGGAUCUCUAGUAAUUGAAUCUUUAGUUAAAGAUUCAAUGUCUCAACGAUCUAUGCUAUACAUUUGUCUUUACGAAUUUUCAUUCAUUGUGUAUUACAUAAUAUUCUUGACCCUCUUAUAUGUGACUUCGGCCGACUUCUAUCACCCGAUAUCGUUGUGUAAUAACUUGAUGAGAUAGCCAAUGCUUAGGUCAUCUUCAAUGGAGAUGGCUAAAGGUCAAAAAGCUAAAAAAUAGUAUGAUUUGUUCAAAAACUCAUCUCCAACCAAUGUCAGAGCUAUAAUUAUAUGGAGCCCACCAUGCCAUUAUUUGGCUAGUGCCCCUUUCUUAGCCCCUUUUUGGGGCCUAGCUCCUCGAUUAUGCCAUCUGCAAUGAAGAGGGCUAAAUGUCUAAAAGCCAAAAAAUGACAUGAUUUACCCAAAAACUCAUCUCCAACCAAUAGCUAGGUUAUAAUUCUAUGGAUUCAACAGUUAGAUUUGGAAACAUCCAAUGUUAGUUUAAUUAAAUUAAAGUAUAAACUUAAAACUAAUAAAUUAUUAGGGAGCCUAUGUUUUAGCCCUUUCGGUUGGAGAUGGUAUAUGAGUAUGGCCGACACUAUUCAUUUAAAAAUAAUUUUUUUGUUGGGUUAUAAUUUUGGAUGAGGCUAUGUCUAGCCCUUUUGGUUGGAGAUGACCUUACAAUGAUUAAUUCAAAUUCAAUGGUUAAAUUUGAAAAUAUCCAACAAAACAUCCAACAGUAGUUUAAUUAAAUUAAUCAAUAAUUUUAAGUAUAAACUCAGAACUAAUAAAUUAUUGAGGGAGUUAUGUUUAGCCUUUUCGGUUGGAAAUGAUAUAUGAGUAUGGCCUAAUACUGUUUAUUAAAAAAAAAAUCUUUAGUUAUCUCUGCUAAUCAAUAAAACACUCAUUGUCAACCAAAAUCCUAUGAAAUUACCAGUUUAACCUUCUAAUUAAAACAAAACAUGAAUAAGAAAUAUGGGGCGGAAAUUUAAUUUUACACAAACAAAAUUUGUUGUUUUUUUUUUUCAAAACUUCAUCUAUAUAUAAUUCUAACAUAUCUCUAAUUAUAAAAUAAAUAAAAAAUAAAAAUAAAAACUUCCUACUCCCACAUUCUCUAUCACUCCCUUCCUCUCUUCUUUUAUUUUAAAACAAAAAAAAAAAUUUCACAUACUUUAUAUAUGCCCAUAUGCUAGUAAUUAUAAACGAAACUAUAUUUAACUAUUUCGUUGAAAAUGACCGUACGAGUAUGUAAAUUUUGAAAUGUGAGUUGUCGUUCACUACGCAAGCAAAGAUCGAAAGCCUUCAUGUACCGAGGGGUCCCACUCCUUGAAUCAGAAUAAAAGUGCUUUGAAAAAGUCCCUUUAAUUAUGUCCAAGUUUGGAUAAAAUUUGUCCAUGCAUGGCAUGCACUCACUGACUGAUCUCGUCGUCCUGAAGGGUAAGAGAGGUAAAUUCCAGAAUAACCCACGAGGCACUGUAUGAAGCCUGUCAAUUACAUCAACUCAUCAAGCUUUCAAUCUUUUCAUGGCAUGCCUAACUUCUGUGAAAUAUGCUCAACAUUUAACAUUUUGUAAACCAAAAAGAGAGUAAGAGAGAGAUGAUUGAAGUAAUAAAGUAAAAGCGAAAUGCAUGCAUUGAUAAAAGGAAAUUUUAACAAAAAAAAUUUCGGUACUGUUUACUUUAACAAAAAAUUAUAUUUUUACAUUAAAAAGUCAAUUCUAAUACUAUUCAUUUUACCCUUUAUUUGUUCUUUAUUGUUAAAAAUCAAAUUUUUCAAUCCAUUUUUAUUAGUUUUCCUUUGAUAAAAGGAGAAAGAUGCAUGGAGAACUGGUUUUUUAUUUUAUUAUUAUUUUUUUUACAAACAAUAAUAUUAGAGUGGAUUAAGUUAUUAGCUGUUAGCGAGAAGAGGAUCAAUAAUAAUCAAACUAGCACCCGGAUGUAUAAGCAUAAUUGUUUUCUAAAAUUGCAAUAAAACGUCACUUUCCAUAUAUAUAUAUAUAAAAAAAAAAAACUUAUUGUUCCUUGUAUGAUGGAUUGCAAUCUCAAUAUCGUUCUUAAUGGAACGGCCACAAUUAGUUGUUCAGGACAUAAACAAUAUGUAUUGUCUUUAUAUUUAGGAAAUUGGCUCUGUUAGCCUUAUUACAAACCCAACAAUUAAAAAUACUCCCAAAUUAUAAUCUCUAUUAGCCCUCUUUUCCUUAAAUACCACUAACUUGAAAGAUGAACUGUUAUUCUAUGUCUCGACGUUGGAUCUCGAUGGCAUCCAAAAGGGCCUCUCAACUCCCUUCCGACUGUAUCUCGACUGAAUCACGACGGCAUCUCAACGGCACAGAACUGAAUUACCCUUAUAUUUAUGAGUUGAUCAGACACUCCAAUUAAAUAAAAAUAACUAUAAUUAUGUCAAAAUUAUUUAGUCAGUCUCACGUAUAUAUAAUUAAUUCAUCAAACACAUAAACAAAAAAGUUCUUGUAUGUAUGCUAUACUUUGAUUUGUCUCAACAAGAAAUGACUCAGUCAUCUUUUUAUCUAUGUCCAUUGAGUUUAUGGAGGGCAACAUAUUGAGAUCUCAAAAAUCUUAUUCUCAUACAACACACUUUUUUUUUUGAACAAACGAUAUUAUCUACACUAAGGGAAAAUGGGUGGCCUAAACCUCACAAUGGGCUAGCAAUAAUGUGGUUCAAAUUCACAUUUGGCGAGAAUCAAACCUAAGACCUCUCACUGACAAGUGAAGAAGAAUAUCACUAGACCGUAGUCCUAAAAAAAAUAUAGAUCUUAUAGUCUUGCAGUGUUUUAGAUUAGCUAAAACGUUGGUAUCCAUAUUAACUUACCAAAAAAAAUAUGUUGAAUUUGCUACACCUGGAAUUUGUAGCAGAUUUGUCAUUUUAUAAAGGGGUUUUUAACUCAUUUAAAAAAAAAGAAGGGGUUUUUAACUUUAAUUCUUAAAAAAAAUUGAAAUUUAAUAAAAAUCGGAUGUUAGAUUACAUAUUAAUUAUUGUCCUUUAAUGUGUUAUUAACUCAAAUUAAUUAAUGUGUAUUUUAUUCAAUAUCUCACAUUAAAUAUUUGAAUUUAUGAAAAUGAAAAUUAUAAUAAAAUAUAAUUAAUAUAUCAAAAUUAGAAAGAAAAAGAGAAAUAAUUAAAACAUCAAAAUAUAAUUAAUAAAUGAAGUAAUUAACAUAUCAAGAGACUAAAAUUAGAUUUUAAUUUUACUCAUGUUUUUAAUUUAAAGUUAUUUUUAUCAAAAAUUAAAAUGAAGUUUCCUAUUUUGUAAAUUACAACGAUGAAAAAUGACGCGUUGCACGUAAGAAACAACAUCUAUAUUUUCUCUUUUGUUUAAUAUGCCAUCAAACAUAUCCAUCACAUUUUAAAUUUUGUGGAAGUCCCUCUCUCACAUUGAUAAAGUCUGGUUUGUGUUGGACAGCUGUCCAACAGACAACCCAAAAAUCUUCCAAAAACCAACAAACAUUUCUGACCAGUCAUGCAUACGUAUGCAUGGACCCAAUGGCAUAUAAUCAAAAAUUUUAAAUAAUGGGAUCGUAAUGUCAACUUAAAAAAAAGUUUCAUUAAGCUAUUUCAUCGAACAUUUAGUAAGCAAUUGUCAAUUCUUGUCAACAAUGCCAAAAGUUUAUGUUAAAAUAUAUCAACUACGAUAAUUUGUAGAGGCUUGUCGAGAGUGAUGUAGGAUACUACGAAGUAAUAUUGAGAACUCUUAAAGCUUUUCAACUAAAGUAUUUUAUAUAAAAAGAGAGAAAAGAAAAACAAAUAUGAUAGAAGAAAAUAGAAGAAGUAAGAAGAUGAGGUUGUAAGUUAGUUUGCUUUAGCUAUUUAUAAUGGUCAAAUAAAAUAUACAAACAAAUAUACAUGAGAUUUUUAAAGUUGUUGAGAUCAAGGAUAAUCAAUGAUCCCAUUCUAGUUUUGCCAUUGCAUGGGCCGGAUAGGGAUAUGGCUAAAAUAUAAUUCUAUUAAUUGCGUUUUGGGACUUUGUCUAACAACUUGGCUCUCUCUUGACUUGGAUGCCAUGGAUGGCUCAUGCAGUUUACUAAAACUAGUAAUGUACAAUUUUCAGAGACUAUUAAUUAUCAUCUAUCAGGAAAAUUUGAUUUCCAUGCUUGCCCUUUCACGUCGGUGACUUGGAGAUAAUAUUGUUUCUUGUCCGGAGAUGAAAUAAAAUAAAAAGACUUGCACGAUCAUACUGCAUUAUAUAUAUUACACUAUAUAGUCUAUGUUGGGAGUUAUAUAUUAGUUAAAGUAUAAAUAGUAGUCUGUUAUCCUAUAUUGAUGAAGUGCAUAUGUAAUACAAAUUGUAAUUCCUAUAUAUACUCCAUUUUGGAGAUUAAUGAAUAUAUGAGAAAUUCUCAAAUAUUAUCAUAUAUAUUUUUGGUAUUUACCAUGUUUAGUUUAAUAUAGCAUCAAAGCAGUUCGCUCUUGGUGACCUGUGUGCUUUAAUUUUGUGCCCCACAUUUGUCAUGAUUUCCUUCGUCUUGAAAAAAAAAAAGGAAAGUAAAUAGUGUUGCACUACAGUACAAACAGUGCGUAAACAGUGGUAUGCUACAGUGUUCAUGAACAAUAUUUUGCUACAGUGCCAUUAACAGUGAUCUACUACAUCACUUGAACAGUGAUGUGCUACAGUAUUAUGGUAAAUUGUUUUCAUUCCGCUGCCUAUCUUUUGUGCCUUUAUUGUUUGUGAUUUAAUUCAAUGGCUCAGUAUAAUCAUAAUGUUGUUAUGCAUCUUGGUGGAACAAAUAAAUGGAUAAUUGAUACUGGGACCACUAAUCAUGUGACUAGUGACCCUAGAAUGUUUGAUGAGUUAUGUGACUAUAUUCUUGAUCCGUAUAUUACUAGUGCAAAUGGAGCACAUUCCCCCGUGAAUGUUGAAGGCAUUAUCUCUCUUACUUCGACCUUAUCACUGGUCCAUACUUUACUUGUUCCUGAUGUUAAGUGCAAUCUUUUGUCGGUAGAAAAACUACUUGAUACUUUAUAUUGUUUUGCUCACUUCUACCCUACGUAUUGUUAUUUUCAAGACAUUCAAACUCAGAAAGUAAUUGGUCAUGGUAAAAGAAUAGAGGGUUGUACAUCUUGACUAUGGAGGAUACUGUUGUUUCCGGUUCAAAUAAUCAUCAAGUUUUAAGUGCUAAAGUGGAUGACAUACAUCAAAUUUGGUUGUGGCAUUGGCGAUUAGGACGUCUAUCAUUCAGUUAUAUGAAGCAUCUAUUUCCUGCUUUGUUUCGCAUUUGUAGUGAUUCAUAAUUCAAGUGUGAAGCAUGUGUCAUGGCUAAGAGUCAUCGUGCUUCCUUUCCCAUAAGUGAUUCUAAAGCUACUUUGCCAUUUGAUUUAAUACAUUCUGAUGUGUGAGGUCCGGCAAAUGUUACUUCUAAUGAAUUUCGUUGGUUUGUUACUUUUAUUGAUGAUUGUACUCGAUUAACUUAGGUGUUAUUGAUGAAGAAUAAGAGUGAUGUUCAUUUGCUUCUUCAAGAAUUUUGUGCAAUGGUGUAUACUCAGUUUCAGACCAAAGUUAAGGUUUUCAGGUUUGAUAAUAGAGGAGAAUAUGUGAAUCACACUUUGACAUGCUUUUUUCGUGAUCAGGGUAUUAUUCACCAGACGACUACUUUGUUUACACCCCAACAAAAUGGUGUGUCAGAACAGAAGAAUCGUCAAAUAAUGGAGGUUGCUCACUCAUUGAUGUUGGAUAAAUGUGUUCCUAAUCAUUUAUGGGGUCAUGUUGUUUUGGCUGUUGUAUAUUUGAUAAAUCGUGUUCUAAGUAGGGUUCUUGAUUUUCAGACACCACUUGAUGUGUUACAAAAGCAUGUUUAUCUUGUUUCUGUAUCAAAACUUCCUCCGAAGGUGUUUGGGUGUAUUGCGUAUGUGUAUGUCUACUCUUAUCAGCGGAGUAAACUUGAUGCAUGUGUUCUUCGAUGUGUAUUUAGUAGGUAUGCUAACAAUCAGAAAGGCUAUAAGUGUUAUCAUCCUCCGACUCAUAAAACUUAUAUUACCAUGGAUGUCACUUUCCACGAGGAAGUUUCGUAUUUUGUGAAGCCAUCUUCCGACUCUCCACUUCAGGGGAAAAAAGGGAGUGAAGUGCAUAUUUGAAGAGAUGGUAUGGAUGAUGUGUUACAGGCAGAGUUGGGGAUAGAACCUAUUAUGUUGCGUGAUACUGAUCAGUCGGUUAUAGAUAGUGAUCUGUCACCUAUUAUUCCUAAAACUAUUUUUACUGACGACAGAUUAGAUGUGCCCAACGAGUUGCUUGUCAGUAUGUCUGACGAAUUACUUUCUGAUGACCGAUUGCUUGCUUCUGGUAUGUCUAACGAGCUGCCUGAUGAUGGUUAGUUCAGUGAUGGUUCAUCCAGUGAUGAUUCUUUUAACAAUUUGGUACAAGAUAAUGACAUACAUGAGUUAAAUUCUGACGAUUCUUCUAUUUAUUAGUUGCCUCCACGAGCUAAUCGUGGAAAACCUAAGGUACAAUAUGAGCCUGAUAUGCAUGCCAAAUCCAAAUAUCCUAUCAACAAUUAUGUGUUUACUCAUCGUUUGUCCAAACCAUUUUCAUCUUACAUAUGUCAGCUAUCUAGUGUAUCAAUUCCAACAAAAUUGCACGAUGCCUUGUCUGACCCUAAGUGGGUUAAUGCCAUGAGAGUUGAGAUGGAAGCCUUGGAAAAGAAUUCUACUUGGGAUUUGGUUCAUUUACCAAAUGGGAAGAAAGCUGUUGGAUGUAGAUAGGUGUUCACUAUUAAGCACAAAGCAGAUGGUUCUAUUGACCGGUAUAAAGCCAUAUUAGUUGCUAAGGAUUAUACUCAAACCUAUAGGGUGGACUAUCAGGAGAUUUUUGUUCUUGUUGCCAAACUUAAUACUGUGUGUGUUCUUCUGUCCUUAGUAGCAAACCAGGAUUGGCCUCUGUUGCAGUUUGAUGUUAAGAAUGAUUUCCUUCAUGGUGAUCUCAAGGAGGAAAUUUAUAUGGAUCUCCCACUUAGUAUUAGAACAUCUCCUGAAAAAUGUGUUGUAUGCAAGUUGCAAAAAGCUUUGUAUAGUUUGAAACAAUCUCUUAGAGUGUGGUUUUGGAGGUUUACAAGUUCAAUGAAGAAGUUUGGGUAUGUCCAGAGUCAUUCAAAUCAUACUUUGUUUCUAAAUUGUUUCUAAAGCCACAAAAUGGUAAGCUAACUGCAUUGAUUAUUUAUGUUGAUGACAUGUUAGUGACUAGUGAUGAUCAAAAGGAGAUACAACGCCUUAAAAAAGUACCUAGCUAGUGAAUUUGAGAUGAAAGAAUUGGGUGAAUUGAAGUAUUUUCUUGGAAUCGAGGUUGCACAAUCCAAGCAUGGUAUUUUUCUGUCUCAACAGAAGUAUGUUCUUGAUUUGUUAGUUGAAACAAAUCUGUUAGAUUGCAAACUUAUUGAUACUCUGAUUGAGCAAAAUCAUCAUCUGGGCUUAUUUCCGAAUCAAGUUCCUACUCAUAAGGAACGGUAUCAGAGGCUUGUGGGGAAAUUAAUUUAUUUGUCUCACACUUGCCCUGACAUUGCUUAUGCAGUUAGUGUAGUAAGUCAGUUUAUGCACUCACCUAGUGAAGCUCAUAUGGAUGAAAUAGUCCGUAUUUUGAGGUGCUUGAAGAUGGCUCCUGGCAGAGGCUUGGUUUUCUCCAAGAAUGGUCAUUUGAAUGUCGAAGGGUAUACAGAUGCAGAUUGGACAAGUUCUAUCACUGAUUGGCGGGUGGUAAUCUAGUUACUUGGAGAAGUAGAAACAAAAAAUGGUGGCUAGGUCAAGUGCUGAAGCUGAGUUUCGUGGUAUGUCUCAUGGUGUAUGUGAGUUGUUGUGGUUAAAAAAAUUGUUGAGAGAUCUUGGAUUUAAACCCAAUGGUGCUAUGAAACUCCAUUGUGAUAACAAGGCUGCUAUUGAGAUUGCUCAUAAUCCAGUGCAACAUAAUCAAACAAAACAUGUGGAGAUUGAUCAACAUUUCAUCAAGGAAAAUUUGGAUGCUGGAAUUAUUAUGUUUCCGUUUGUGAGAUCUGAAGAUCAACUCGCUGAUGUACUUACUAAGACUGUGUCUAAUAGUGUGUUUUCCAACUCGCUUGACAAGUUGGGCAUGCAUGACAUCUUUGCUCCAACUUGAGGGGGAAUUUUACGAGUUAUAUAUAGUUAAAGUGUAAAUAGUAGUCUGUUGUCCUACAUUGAUGAAGUACAUAUGUAAUACUAAUUGUAACUCCUAUAUAUACUCCACUUUGGAGAUUAAUAAAUAUAUAAGAAAUUCCCAAAUAUUGUCAUAUAAAUUUUUGGUAUUUAUCAUGUUUAGUUUAAUAGUCUAAACAUCAGGAAAUACACCAACCCUAAACCUAAUGGAUUUUAUGAAGCCGCUGGUUUGGGUACACAUUAAUCUAACCUAAUUGCUCUACCACAUUCUAAACACAAAAUUUGUUAUAAAUAGGAUGAUUAAAUUUAUUUUCUCAAGCGGUAGAGUAGUGAACCUCACAGCGACGACAAUCUUCCACCCCCAAAUUCGGGUUUUUUUGUACUAAAAUGGUCUUUUAUGUAUAAGAACUUUACGAUAAGUUUAUUAAAAUUGGCUCUGUAUCUACGAAAUCUCAACAUCCAUACGUUACAAAAUGGAUUAGAACUCCUAGGAAAUAAAAUAGAACAUAUGAUGAUCCCUUUAAAGGGCCUUAUAAUGGGGAAGACUUCUCACAGAAUAUAAGAAGACGAAGAGGAAAACUAAAAACUUAGAACUUCAAGGAGAUGGACUGGAGCAGGGAGAAUGGCAAAGAACCGGAACCCAGAAGACCCGCAACGAAAAAGAAAACACUGUACUUUUUUUAGACAUUUUUUCACAUUUCUUCUCGGCCUUACAGCCAAGUAGCAUUUUCCGACCCCAAAUAAAGAUAGAAGGAAAAAACCAAAUUAAGGUAAAUAAAUUUUCUAUAGCAACUUGGCAAACAAAAACAUACUAGAAGAAAACAAGGAAAAUACAAAGAAAUUAAGGAAGUAUGGGAAACAAAAUAAAUUUAAUACGGGACCAACGACAACGGUGCAAAUGUAUAUUGUUCAGGAAAUAAACUUUUAGCGAAAAUGUGCUGCAAAAUUGACCAAUUUUGCUUCAUAUUCACACUCAAUUUUUUUAAGAAUUAAUAUCUGUAGAGUUUAGACCAAAAAUAAAAUAAAAAACAAAACCAAAAUGCUACUCCACUUUCUUGGUACUUAACUCAGCUCUCCACCUCCUUCCAAUCUUACAAGCUUCUAGAUUUAGAUUUGUCUCAAAUCACAUGCCAACUAACCUGCCCAGCUCAAUUUUAUUUUUUCUUUGGAAAUUCCAGUGCGUCUCUACUUUUGUUUUUCUAAAUCUUACUUACUCCCAUUAUAAUUGGAAUUUUAUAUAUUUAUAUGGAUGCUUUGUCAAGAUAUGAGAGAAAUAGUAGUGAUUCAAAAAGAUGAUUAGGAGCCAAAAAUAUUUAUUAUUUUAGAUUGGUGUUUAUGUUUUUGAACAGUUAAAAACUUUUUUGGUCAUUGUGUUUAUGUUUAAAAUUUAUUUUGGUCACUGUAUUUUAUUUUCUGCUAAUUUAGUUACUGUGUUAUCACAAGUUAGCAAUCUUAGUCCUUCUCAAUCAAACGUUAAAAAAAACGCACAUGACAUGCAAGUGCAGGGGUAACUAUGUAAGUGAAAAUAUAUCUUUGCCCCUGCACGAAACUGUCACGUGCAUUUUUUUGGCGGUUGACUUAUGGUAACGCAGUGACCAAUUUGGCAGAAAAUAAAACACAAUGACCAAAAUAAAUUUUAGAAAUACACACAGCGACCAAAAACGUUUUAAUUUAACCCAUUUUUAACAGUCCAGCCAGCUACCAUGAAAGCUACAACAUGAAAGCUGACUGUCAAAAUUUUGUUUAAAAAUUCAUACACAAUAAUCGUCAUAAGAACGUGCAAUAGGUACUUUGAAUUCUUAAAUAUACUGCAUGGUUACCCUUUCCUUUUGUUUUAUACAGAGAAAUCUUGACAGGCAGUCAAAAGCAAAAUUAUGUUCUUCUAGUGAUAUCUGUGUGCUAAAAAGGAAGUACGUAGCUACGUUCAGUCUUCACCUAACACUCCUAUUUGCACCUAAAAGAUGUGGAUAACAAAGAUUUUGACCAAAAUCACAUUGACAAGUACUUGCCAAAGGAUCACGGAACCUAUGAUUGUAAAAGAUAUACGUGUUGGGCCUGACCGACGUUAAUUAGUUGUUCAUAUUGAUUUGAGAAAUUUGAUUGAAUGAGGAUUAACAAAUCACAAUUGCUAAAAUAUUAAAAUGUAUUAACUGCGACAUAUUGGUUAAAUAAUUAUUGCACAUCGAAAAAAUAUUGACGAGUAAUUAUGAAUUUUUAUUUUCAUUAUUUCAAACAUUUUUAUAUUAGAAAAGCUAAAGAAAAUGAUUUAAAAACUUUGAAUUUUAAUGAUACGUACAAAAUGAAAGGUAAAAUAAAUAGUACCAGAAUUAACUUUUUGUUUAAAUUUUAUUUUCUAUUUGGCAUCAACUUUUGGUUUAAAUAUACUAUAUAACCCUCACAAAAGAAAAAGCAUGGUGUACUAGUAGCUAAAAGACAUAAAAAAGGUUAAUCUUAAUUUAUUAUUCUAAAGUUUCUUAGUUUUCAAUAUUUGGUAUAUAAAGUUUUUUUUAUUCUAGAGUUGUACAUAAAGUUAUAAUUUUGGGAUACUUUCAUACAUCCAUUAAGGUUGCUGUUAAAUUUAUCAUUAACUGAUGAUAUGACAUUUAUGUUGACAAUGACACGUAGAUAUUAAAAAUUAAAAAUUAAAUUAAUAAAAUAAUAAAAAUUAAAAAAAAAAAAAAAUUGGGCGUCUUCACCCUCACCCCUUCUGACCCCCCUCCCUUCUCUCCUCUGCACCCACGCUUCCCCCUCCCUCUUCGACUCCACCCAACGCUGCACUCCGAGGAUUGUUGCCAUCCUUUCAAGCCCAAUUUCGCCCCCAAAUAGGCCCGGGCAGUACUUGGCCAUAAACUUCAAGUCGUAGACCCUCUCGAACAAACGACCUGCCAUCUUUGCGAACUCAGUGGGGGAGCUGAGGAUGGUCUUCCUCGUCACCAGCUUCAUUACAUAGGCCGAGUCGUAGAGGCCGUGGAAGCUCACCCAUACGAGCUGCCCCCUGUGCACCCUUAAAAUCUCAACGAAACCCUCCACAAAAAUAUCCGAAUCAAUGCCGAACUUCCCAAAUUUCUCGAGAUCCAAGCCAUUCGCUUUGAGGAGGGCAAUGGAUUCUGGAACAUGGGGGUCGGUUUCCUCGUCAAAACCCCGAAAGUUGAACUCCCAGGUGCCGCCGACGUUGCCGCGGUCGUCGAACAGGGUGAUACCCACUUGGAUGAGAUUGAGAGAAUCGACAUUAAGGGCGAUAUCUUGGUAACGGAGGCCCUUGGAAGUGCCUCUGGGGGUGUUGCGGAGGAACCCCGGAAAUUCGGUGUCGAACGAGACGAUCGGAAAACGGCAGAGACACCGAUCGACGGAGGGAAGGGGAAAGGUGGGUGCAAAGGAGAGAACGGGAGUGGGGUCGGAAGGGGUGAGGAAGAAGAUGCCCAAAUUUUUUUAUUUAUUUAAUUUUUUUAGUUUUUAUUAUUUUAUUUUUUAAUAUGCACGUGUCAUCAUGUCAUUGUCCACGUGGAUAACACAUCAUUAGUUAACAGUAAAUUUAAAGGCAACCUUAAUGAAUGUAUAAAAUUGUUCCAAAAUUAUAACUUUAUGUACCACUCUGAGAUGAAAAAAACUUUAUUUACCAAAUAUUGAAAACAAAAAAACUUUAAGAUAAUAAACUAAUAUUAAUCCUAAAAAACUACUAAAGGAAAGGGUGAAAGAAAAAAUUAUUAGUUUGUGCUGUUCUCAUGGUAAUAGUGGUUUUUGUAUUGUACGAUCAUGUGUUACAUUUUAUGCAUUAUUAUGUGGAUGAAUGAAUAAGUUAAUUACAUCGCAUGUCAUAGGGUGAAUAUUACAUUAAAAAAUUCUUCAUUCUUGUUAUUCGUCAAAUUAAUGGUUGUGCAUUUGUAUGAGGACCUAGAUCUGUUGAGGAUGCAGAUCUUCACUCGUUGAAGGCCAUCCCUAUCUAUCUACUACUACUCUUUGGAAAAUAAUUGACUACAGAUGAUUGUACAAAAAAAUAAUUAAUAUUAUCUGAACAGCUCACCAUGCAUGUUCAGUAAAGUAAAGCGGAUUUGUUUAUUCAUUGUCUAGUUCAAACUUGGGGAGCAUUUUCUCAUUCUUGCGGUGAUCAGAAUAAUGUGAUUUAAGUCCAGUUAAACAUGCUUAAUUAUGCAUUUAAGCAUCUUUUAUUUAUUUGCUUUCAUUAUUUUUUCCUUCUUAAUGUGUUGUUAUUGUUUGGAACAACAAGUAAGACAAAUCUAGCCAGUUAGCAUUCACCGCAUCACCGCAUAAUGAAAGAUUAUUCAUAUUUGGAAAUGAAUAAUUAAUUAAAAAACUGUAUUAUUAAGGCAAAUGGGCACUUAAUAUUUGUAUCUUAAACCUUCCGAGUCGGAUAUUCGAGUAAAUUAGUUAAAAAGCUAUGCAAAAUGUGAAUGUGACAGACUACGUAGUAAAGUUUGGGUUAAGAGAGAGAGAGAGAGAGAGAGAGAGUAUUUCGCAGCCGGCUGGUCCCUAUGUACGGGAAGAAUCAUAGAAAGUUAGGUAACUACACACAUUUUUCAAAGAUGUCGAUCAUGAAAAAUAUUUGAUAACAAAUUCAGGGAGGACAUACUGCUUAAAUUAUUAACCUAGAAAUAAAGUUCGAUCUCUUGCUUUAACUUUUCUGCUACGUAGCUCUUAUUGCAUUAAACAAAGCCUUAUUAAAGUAAAGAUGGUCACACCCUUAGCCCUUUAGGUGAUACGUUCAGGGAAAUGGUUAAUGUUUUUACAAGCUCUUGUUUAUUUUUAUUUUUUAAUAUUUUCAGAUAUUUUUACAAUCUUUUACUGCGCAGUAAUAGAGUGUAAAAAUCAUAUCUAUGUAUUUAUUUAUUAUUAACUAUGUUUACAAUGAACCUUCUAUUCCAUGAAACAAGAUAUAAAAAUAAAAAUAAAAAGGAGAAGGGCAUAAAUUAACAAAAUUCGGUCAAAGGCCGCAUUGGUCCAAACAUUAAUUGAUAAUCUAUGACAAAUAGUCUGGCCCCAUUAGCAUUAUUUUAACAGUAAUAUUGUUUUUUUACUAAGAUAAUUAAUAAUUGCCAAGUGAAAAUUUGGCAUGAGUACCAUUGUGAAGGGUAAAAACCAAAGCUAUAUAAAGGGUGAGGAGGCUUAGCUUCAGAGGCAGACAACCAAAAACCCAUUCUUAACGAAGGAUGGGAAAAAUGGUGCCUUCACAAGUGACCUCUCUUGUGGUCACUCUCCUAGUGGCAAUAGUCUCUCUCACAUUGCCUUCAGAAACUUCAGCUAACUACCCUUACACCUCUCCACCACCACCGGCCUCUCCUCCCUACCAUUACAAGUCACCACCGCCUCCUUCUCCUUCUCCUCCAGUGCACUACUCACCACCUAAGCAUCCCUACCACCCUAAGUCACCACCACCUCCUGUGUACGCACCACCUAAGCAUCCCUACCACCCUAAGUCACCACCACCUCCUGUGUACCCACCACCUAAGCAUCCCUACCACCCCAAGUCACCACCACCAUCACCAAAGCCUUACCACUACAAAUCCCCACCACCACCUCCUGCUCCAGUGCACUCACCACCCCCACCUAAGGAGCCAUACCACUACAAGUCCCCACCACCACCACCCAAGAAGCCCUACCACUACAAAUCUCCCCCACCACCUCCUCCUCCAGUUCACUCACCACCACCACCCAAGGAGCCUUACCACUACAAAUCUCCACCACCACCACCCAAGAAACCUUACUAUUACAAGUCUCCUCCACCACCACCAAAGAAGCCUUACCACUACAUGUCUCCUCCCCCACCGGUGUACUCACCACCUCCACCAGUGCACUCACACCCACCACCAAAAAAGCCUUACCAUUACAAAUCUCCUCCCCCGCCAGAAUAUUCACCAGCUCCACCAGUGCACUCAACCCCACCACCAAAGAAGCCCUACCAUUACAAAUCCCCACCACCACCACCACCACACAAGAAGCCUUAUUACCCUGUUCACUCACCACCUCCACCUAAGAAGCCUUACCACUACAAAUCCCCACCACCACCUUCUCCUACUCCUCCUAAAUACUCACCACCUAAGCACCCCUACCACUACAAGUCUCCACCACCACCACCAAAGAAGCCUUACCAUUACAAGUCCCCACCACCUCCUUCUCCUACUCCCCCUAAAUACUCACCACCUAAGCACCCCUACCACUACAAGUCACCACCACCACCACCCCAAGAAGCCUUACCACUACAAGUCUCCACCACCACCACCUCCUCCAGUUCCCACACCAUCUCCACCCAAGAAACCUUACCACUACAAGUCUCCCCCACCACCCCCUCCAGUCUACAAGUCUCCUCCACCACCAGUUUACUCACCACCACCACCACCUAAGAAACCUUACAAGCCACCAACUCCUCCAGCAGUUCACCCACCACACGGUUACAUCUAUUCCUCACCCCCACCUCCUCACCACUACUAGAUAUUGAAAGUUUAAUUGCAUCA
rnacentral:lncRNA from 1 species